AAUUUCCAAGCAAGGCCCGUGCAAACGGUAUCCAGGCUUCGUUGCUGCAACUGGAAAGCGUGCGACAUGCGUCAGCCAAAAGCAGCAUCCUUCAAGUACACGUUACGCAUCGUGCUGCGACGUGCAUUUGAACUUUCAAGAGUGGCCAAAGAAAAGCAUCUCUCUCUCUCUCUCUCUCUCUCUCUCUCUCUCUCUCUCUAGGCGGUGCUCCAGAUCUGAGUUGCGCCCUGAAGAAGCACGGCCUCUCUCUCUCCAUCUAUCAAGGCCAGAUCGCGCCGGGCGCUUCGGCUUCAGCUCGCGAAUGGGUGCUCGCAUCGUAUACGGGGUCGUGUUCGUGUCGUGCUCCUGCGCCUGCAUCAAGCUUCUCCACCUCCUCCUCCGCCCCAUCUUGUACUUCACCUCCUGACCCGAAAUCUCAGUCGAUGAACAAUGGUUAGCUGAUUCCCAAUUAUCUCUCUCUCUCUCUCUGCAAAUUUCAUCAGUGAAUCUCAUGGGGUUCUUCCUCGGUUGCUUUUGUCGGGAUGGUUGAUCCACCCUUUCAAGUGCUUUUCUUUUUCGGGGUCGAUGUAAGAACUGGCUCCUUCGUAUGUAGUGGAUUCAAUCGGUUUCACUGAUGUCGUGUAUGGGACGAGUUCGUUCGUGGUUAUGAAUGCUAAGAUAUGUUGUUGUCAAGAUAUUAUAAAGUUGAUUGCCAGAACUGAUACUCAGAAGAAAGCACCACCAGAAAACUGUACUACUCAUGGCUUGUGCAAUCUAGUCAAGUUGGCCCCCGUUUUUGUUAAUGUUCGAAAGGGCAGCCCAUAUCACUCGGCCGGGCAGUUGAGAUCUGAGCUCGAAGGCUCGACCCCUCUCUCCACUCAAAUCAGCUUUGAAUUUUGAAAUCUGAGCCCAACUCCAUUGACAGAGCGGUCCUCAAGCUAAGAAUUCAAUUGGGUUGCAAACUGCAUUGAAGAGAAGUGCAGUUUAGUGGAGACUUUAAGAGAUUGAUCUUUAAUUAUGAAAGUAAGAAUAGAUGCAGCAUCCUAUGUAGUAUGUAUACAUAUGGUUAAGAUUAAAAUUAAACAGAUUGAUAGGUUUGCGAGUGGUUUGAGCCUAUGCGAUUUUAAGCUCGAUCUCCGCUUAAUUUGAUGUUGGAGUUGCAGAUACUCGGGCUCAAUUGAAAUUCGAUAGUUAAUCAGUCAAGCUCCGGUGGCUCUCGGAAAAGAUGUGAUUUUUUUUUUCAAAGCAGAAAAAAAGAAAAUAAAAAGUAUAAGUGUCGCAAAUCCAAGGAUGCGAGGUUGUGAGAUUGGAGAAAGAAUAUUAGCAGAAAAGUGUCAAGAAAAGUCAUAAAGCCAUUGCAUUGGUGCCAACUUAAUCCUAAACCUUUUGAUUUGGUACAAAUUCAAUCAUAAAUCUUGCAAUGAUAUCAAUUUAGUCAUAGACCUUUUGAAAUAGUGUUAAUUUAGUUCUAAACCUUUUUGACUUGAUAUCAAUUCAGUUCUUGCGACUAAUUUUGGUUGGAUUUUACUAAUAUGGACACCAACCAGCUUAUGUGACACUAAUGACGCUAGCAUUGAUAAUUUUUAAUAAUAUUUUAAUUUUCUUUCUUUCUUUCUUUCUUUAGCUCUCAUUCAUUUCUUCUUCCUUUAGGUGGUGGCCAGCCAAUAACCACAAGCAAUGGCUAGGCAUGCUAGCCUCACUUGACUAUGAUGAGGCCAAGCCUCAGUGAGGCUAGCCCUUGCUUAGGCCAGGGCUACCUCAUCGGGCAUCACCUUCACUUGGGUGACGCCUGAUGAAGGGAGCCCUCAUAGGGGCCUAGCCUUGCCUUGCCUUGGCAUGGCUAGCCCGCCUAACCAUCACCUAUGGCUAGUGGUUGGCCACUGCCUAAAGGAAGAAGAAAUGAAUGAGGAAAAAAAAAAGAGAAAGAAAUCAUAAAAAAUAAAAAAAUAAAAAUUGCAAAAUUACUAAAAUAUUAUUAAAAAUUGUCCACAUUAGUACUUGUAGUACUACGUGAGCCGACCGGUGUUCAAGUUAGUGAAAUUAGGCCAAAAUUAGUAGUAGGACUAAAUUAGCAUUACUUCAAAAGAUUUAUGACUAAAUUGACAUCAUUAAAAAGUUAAGGACUGAAUUGGCACCAAAUCAAAAGUCUUAUGCCUAAAUUGAUACUAUUAAAAUUGGCACAAAUAUAGAAGUUUAGAACUUUUUUGACACUUUUCCCAAAUAUUUCCAUUUAUUUUGUAGAAAAUAAAUGAUUUGAAAAAUAUUUUCCUAAAAAAUGAUUAUUUGUAUCACUUGAAAUAACUUUUUAAUGAAAGAUGUUUUCAUCAUCAAUAAUAAUUUAUAUCUAUACAUUUUUCGAACAAUGAAGAUAUUUUCUGUUUAUUCAUUUUUGUAAAUAAUAUAAUCAAUUAUUUUUACAAAAAUAUUUUUCAAAUCAUUCAUUUUCGCAAAACAGACAUAUUCUCAUUAUGCUAUUGCCUCAUGUGACAUGUAUAAUCACAUCAAUCGAAAUUUUAUCUUACGGAUGGAUUUGAAUGGAUUGAACCGACCAGUGCAAUGGCAAUGGAGGGAAACAUGGGUAGUACCAAGAAUUCUGGUUCCUUGCUUUUUCAAAUAACAAUAAUUUGUUAAAUAAAUAAAAAAAUCGUUUAUUGAAUUGGAAAGAUUUGGAGUAUAAUUAACCUUGUUCAAAGCUUAUUUAGAUACCACAUCAUCCUUUAUUUUCUUAUUUGUAAUGAUAUAGUAUUUUUUGGGUUAGGUGAACGGUAACGAAGCAUUUUGAAUCAAUUCAUAAUUCUUCCUGCCAAAGAGUGCCGUAAUCUAAAACCGACGAGGAAGAAAGCGAGUAUGAUAAUUUUCCUCAAAUCAAGAAAAAGCUGGUGAAAUCAUAUGCAGCAUUACCCAAGAAAAGAACAAUUAUACACUGGUUGAUAAUCUUGAGAUACAUUAAGUUAGAUGGAUGGGGAUCUUGUGAGCACAAAUUCACCAUAAAAUGUAGUUUUCCAAAAGUAACUAAAAUUUCCUCAUACUUCAUGAAAAUUUACUCAAAGAUCUAGACCAAGCAAUGGCCACAUCAUGACGAGGUUCCAACGGCAGCAUUGAUGCCUCAUCAAGAUCUGGAGACUUGAGAGAAACUAGAAUGAAAUGAGCAGUUAUUUAUCGAAACAAGAAAGAGAGAGAAAUGUCAAGUUAUAUGUCAUGAAUUUCUUCAGUACCCUCAACAACAGCAACAAAAGAGAAAUUAUGUAAACUCUUUUUGUAGGUGUCCAAGUUAGGAUUAUGUUUCCAUCCAUCACCGAUCGGAGGAAACUUCCACUGGCCACUGUUUCGAUUGGCGAAUGAUUAUACUCGUGGACAUCGUCCACGUCUAUAUUCUACUAAGUUUGCAUGUUGAGAUGUCUACAAUUCACAACCUAACUAUCGGAUGUAUGGCUGAGGGUUGAGCUAACUAAACGGUCCAUUGAACUGAUUGCCGAUGCAUCAAAUGCAAUGCAGGUAAUAAUCUGAAGUGUCCCAAUUGAUUUGACUCCUGAAUACAUGGAGGAAGGCAGUUAUUGACGACAACCAACGACAACCAGCCACUAUUCUUAAACAUCCACAAUCCAACACGGAGGAAGGUAGACGGUUUCCUGGGAAACCUACUGUUUUCUCUAUCCUCGUGCGUCAACUAUCUAAACAUGGGCUUUUCAUGGCGAUCAGUUUAUCCUCAGAUCUCUCUUCUUUGGCUCUUCUUUUUCACCUCCUUUUCCUUUCUCUCCAUGGAUCUUCUCCAAACAAAUUGUUCAAUUUGAUAAUCACAGAUCUUGAUCCAUCCCGUUGACGAAAUAGGCCAGAGAGAGAAGAGAGAAGAUGGAGAAUCCCUCUCUGGGAGCCGGGCUAAUUGCUGUAUGCGCAGUCUCCGGCGGCGUGGUUCUUCUUUCGCUCCAACUCCACAAGUGUCUCCUCUCCGACUUCAUGAAAGAGAUUGAAUUCCACGUCCUUGGUACGCAAUACCUUCCUUUUUGCAGUUGUUAGCAUUGCAAAUGUCACAUUAAUGAUAUUUUCUGGUCAUCGACCGUGGCAUUUACCUUUAGCAACGAGAGCAUUUCAUUGUUGUUUAAAGGCUUAGAAUUUCGCGACGAAAUUUCAGUUUUGUUGCUAAGGGGUCUUUUAGCAACUACGCCGGCUGAUUUAGCUAAUCUUGUACCUCAUUUUGAGUCGUUUCACGAUGCCUUACGCCAUCCAUUCGCUAGGAACCAAGAAACACAAAGCGAAAAGGAGAUCAGCCCGGCGCCAGAACAACGCAACGAACCCAUCCCAGAAUGACGAUGGAUGUCCCACGAGAAGAAUCCCAAAGCCAGACAAAGGGCAUCGAUUUAAGAGCUCUGACCAAUGUGUAAUGGAGGAUCGCAACCUCGAAUUGGAAUCGAUGCCGGUUAACAGACAAAUGCUGUACCGGGGGAUUUUGCUGAACAAACACCUUAGAGGGCAUUUUGUACCUAGGCAUUUCUAGUAUAAAUGAUUUGAUGUGCGAUCGCCAUAUGGGUGUUCACCAGAAAACUGUCGCGAAUGCCAAACCCUCAACAGUAUAGUGCCGAUCUCCCGGGACAGCUUUAAUCUGCAAUUUUUCGAGUUACUCAACGGUCUUAAUAUCGAUAUUUAGACAUUUGCACCUGGAAAAAGGAAAAAGAACUUGACCUAUGCAUUCAAUAUGAAGUGAGACUAAAGUUGGUUAAAGAAGUGACAAUGAAGUUGCUGUUAAGAUUUUGAAUAAAUCAAAAGCUGAUGACCAAGAUUUUAGAAGCGAAGUGGCUACUAUUGGAAGGAUCCAAUAUGUUAAUGUGGCGCAAUUUGUUGGUUUUUGCUUCCACAACUUUAAACAAGCUCUUGUGUACGAUUUCAUGUCCAUCAGGUCCUUAGAUAAGCACAUCUUCUCUAAUGAUGUUGAUUAGUCUCUUGCUUUAAAAUUUAAUAAAAAAAAAAAAAAGUACGUGAGAUCUCUCUUGGUGUGGCGAGGAUAAUAUAAUAUUUACAUUGAGGAUAUGACAUGCAAAUUCUAUACUUUGACAUCAAUACUCACAAUAUUCUUCUAGAUCAAAAUUACACACCAAAAGUUUUUGUCUCAAGCUUGCAAGACUUCAUCCCAUAGACCUCAACAUAGUAUCCUUGACUGCUGGAAGAGAUGUGGCUCCUAAGCUAUUCUACAAGGACAUUAGUGGUGUCUCUUGUAAAGUUGAUGUUUAUAAUUUAGGAAUGUUACCAAUAAAAAUUGCUUAUAGGAGGAGAAAUGUAAAUGUAAAUGUUGAGUGCUCAAGUGAUAUUUAUUUAUCUUUAUGAGUUUAUGAUCAACUCAGUAAAGAAAAUGAAGUUGAAAUGGAAUACAUUGAACAGGAAGGAGAGAUAAUUAGGAAAAUGGAAAUAGUUGCUCUCUAGUGUAUGCAAUUAAUCCCCAUUGAUCAAAGUUCUGCACACGUUUGAAGGUGAUGUUGAUAAACUGUAAUUGCACCGAAACUGCUUUUGUAUAUAUCUAAAAAGAUAGUUGAUGAUGUCGACACUAAAAUAGAACAUGAAUCGUUCUCAACUUCAUCAAGUGCUUUGACCAUUUCCAAUGAAUAUUGACUUCAGUAUAACCAUUAAAUUACAAAUUCAUGCAUCGUUUGAUUUUCUUUUCUCCUUGUAUGAUUGAAAUGCAAAAUUUAGGUAGUUCCAGCAUAAGCAUAAUUGAUCAUGUAAUUCGUGAACCUAAAUGAUUUUAGCGUUCGAUCAUUCUUGUGUUUUGUAGAAGAAUUGCCUCAUGGUUACCUAUUUACAUUUCUAGUAUCCCGAGUGCUCUUGAUAGACCAAGCUUGUCUUGUGUGGAGCAACGAGCCUCUCUGCUUCUCUGCCCCGUCCAACAUCAAGCUCUCUUUCCUGCCAAAACCUCUCACCCUCGCCCCUUGACCGCCUCCUGACCACCCAUCACCUUCUCUCUCUUCCUCAAGUCCUGCAAUCGCUCCCGAGCACGGCGCGUCCAUCGUGCGCUCGCCCCAUCCCAAUUCGAGCUCGACUCAGUGAUUCUCAACUAGGACAUCGAUCUCUACUCGAAAUGCAAUGAAUGGCUGAAGAAAAGCGGAUUUUUAAGGACAUGUAUGAGGGACUUGGUUUCUCAGAUUUCCAUGAUUUCUUGUCAUGCCAAUAAUCACACAGAGUUCGAAGCGGUCAAUACUUUUGUUCACAUGCUUGAACAUGGUUUCCGAUAUGAUUAAGAAAGUCUUUAUAAAUGCACUUAGUAUGACAAGUUACUUGGUGAAUCUAUUCUGAUUGAUUACAAUUGGAUGUUGGACUCUUUAAGAAGUGUGGUCUACUAACAUUGCCGAUUAUUCUAUUCAUAAAAUAUUUGGUUGCUUAUGUUAUGUUCGAGUGAAUAAUAGUAAGCUCAACGUGUCAGAGAAUUCCUGUGUGGCAAUUAAAGUUGUAGGUAGAGUCGGUGCCUUAUUGAGGUCCACAGUUAUGAUUAAGUUCAAGUGUAGUAGCUUGGACUCAAAAGAUCUUUGUGGCGGUUGAACCCCUAAGAGAAUGUGGGAGAGUAGUAGUAAUUACGUUUCAAGAAAUCGAUUAUGACUUGACUCAAAUAUUAAGUAGGUGGAGAUUGUUAGAAAAUAUCUUGAAUUUGAGCCUAUAGACAAAAUUUCAAAUUCACAUAGGAGAUUUCGUAUUUGGGUUCCGGCAAUUAUCAAAUGGACAUCCAAAUUGGAUUGGACUAAGUAUCUCAACAAAAUAGGGAAAUCACUUUUUUCAUUAGAUUUAGAAGUGAACCACUAUUUCCUCAUUUUCUUGGAGACAUAUAUUCAUAUUCAAUCAUGUCUUUUAUGUCUUUAGGUUAUUUACGUGGAAAAUUCAACCAAGAGGGUGGUGAAUAAGUUGAUUCUCAAAACUUUAGAUUUUUUCAGGAACAACUCAAGUUAAUUUUGAUAGAUGUUGGAACAAUUUGAUUAUGUCAGAUUAAUGAUGCUUCUACGAGAUAAAUAAUGAAAUAAGUAGAGAGAUAGAAGGAGUUGCGAGCAAAUCUUAUAGUGAUUUAGCUUAGAUUAAGUCUACAUUCAUUCUCCCAAAAUAAUAGCAAUCAACAAGAUUGAAAGGGUGUGGCCCAAUUAGACCACAAUAGGACUUGGCCGAUCCCUUGGUCCUAGGACCCUACACUCUACAUUGUAUGGGUUGUUCCUCAAUUUUAGGACUUCCAGAGCAACUCUAUAUAUUACAUAUAUGAUUUAUACAAGAUAUAUCGUAUAUUUUAUAUUUUAUAUUUCUUUGUUUAUUCUAAAUCUUGGCGAUUUCACUUUUGUUAUUUCUUAUAUGGUUCUAUCGUGUAAAUUAUAUACCAAGCCUGGAAAAAGAAAAAGAAAUCCUCUUCACUCACCUUGCUCGCCGCUCAACUCUCUUCAUUGGCUCACUCGCCUCACGAGUGCAAUUCAACUGGUGAAAUCACUUGCCUCUCUUGGCCCGCCUCACAAACGUAGCUCAAUAAUUGCAAUGAUUUUUGUUGUUAUAUUAUCUUAGAUUUACAUUUGAUAUGUACUAAUAUUCAUAAUUUGGUUGGCCAAUGUCGCAUUAUUGAUGGAUAUGUAAUUUGAAAAUGCAUGUUUUUCCUUUCAAGAAAUACAAAAAAUGAAACAAACAAAAAAAAAAAUUGGUAGGUCUUAAAUUGACCUUGGAACCAGACCGAAUCGAUAGGGUCAGUUUGGUCCAGUCUUUGGUCAUAGGCUCAAUAGGGUCGGUCUCUAGUUCCAAAAAUUAAGGACCGAUACCAUGUGAGUUGGCCCUUGGGUUAAGUAUUGGACAGACUUGUGGCACCCCUCGACGGCCCCCAAUCCAUUAGGAUCGCCAUAGAUUUCUUGACACUCAUCCUACUUCAUACUAGUAAGGUAACCUUUAAAUUUUAGUGAAACCAUGGUUCAUAGAGGUUGAUUAGUAGAAUAUUUUUCCAUUUUUUUUUUGUAAAGGUCCCAGUGCAAUUCAUCAGUGGAAGCAUAAACAAGUCUCACCAUCUCUCCCUCCAAUAACAAUAACAAUAAUGCAAUGCACACCAACUACGCACCAGAAGAAAAGAUAAAGCCGAUUCACUUUUAUUUAUAUUUUCAUGAUGGACAUUUCGGGUCGAUGCAACAAAAAAGCCAAGAUUUUUAACUAUACUUGGCUAUACCCAAAAGAGAACUCGGGCCUAUAUGAAACAUGUACAUCCCUCCAUCGACAAGUGUCGGAUAUCCCAAAAAGAAAACGUCAGCUCCCACCAGUCCUACGUGCCAUCACACCCAACCCGGUGCAUCGGACGGUGGCAGCGGUAACAUCCCUAGCAUCACCCCUUUGCGUCGAACAUGAAUGGACAAAAACUCUUGAAUGAUAGGGCCAUCAACUGAACCCACGUUGUACAUCACCAAUACUCGAACUCGGACAUACUCCAGACCAAGUAUACUAAUACAGGAAUGUUUGGUGCACUCCACCUCGACGUCAGUAGGUAUGCCAUAGAAGGUACCACGCACAACUGGUGAAAGAGAUAUCUUUCUAAUCUGAAAUGUUAAUCCCCAAAAGAGAUUAGUACAACCAUUCAGCAAUAAAGAUUCACCAAACUACACAGUGCAUCAAAUAGAACAAUCAAGGUAUCAUGAAUAAAACACAUAUCAUUCAUGCAUUCAAGCAUACCUUACCUUGCAACAAUGCAUAUAUCACCAUGCAACGUGCAUAUACCACCAUGCACUUAUCAUCAAGCAAUCAUGCAUAUAUCACAAUGUCAUAUGUACACAUCCAUGCGCAUGAUACAAUCUCAAUUUUUAUCUUUCCAGGGACCAAUGUUUGCAUCCCUCAAUUUAUUGCUCACAUCCAACCUGGCAUCACGAGGAACCUCCGGCACACACCUCCAAGCAUCCGGCGCACACACUCCGGGCAUCUCGUACCCCAACUAGCAUCACGAGGUAUCCCCCGGCAAACACCUCCGAGACUUCUGGCACACACCUCCAGGCAUCUCGAAACUCUCGAGGACAUCCGGAACACACACUUUGGGCAUCCGACACACACACUCCGGGCAUCUCGAAACUCCCAGGCAUCGUCAGCUCACACCUUCAACGGUCUUGUUAUUAUCUCAAUUUAUAUUCACACAUGUAUCUCAAUUUUAACAUGGCAUUUGAUGCAUCAAUAUCAAGAGUCUCAACCAGCUUUUGAUGCCAUAUAACAUGUCAUAUGUCAUCACAUAUGCAACAAAAUCAACCGCUCAAAGCAUUGCAUCACAUGGAAAAAUUCAUUUAUUUUUGAAAACACAUCAAUUUUUUUAGAUAAAACAGAAUACACUCCUUUGGCUAAAACCCUAGGAAAAUUAGUGAAUAGUAUAAAUAAAUUCUGAAAUUUUGAUAUGUUAUAGACAAGUCCUAAGGGUAAAUAUCUCAUGAAGAAAUCGAAACCCAAAUCGUUCUACAUUAACAGAUAUAGACGAUUUAUUCCCCCUGUUCUCAGUGUCGUUUUUCCAGAUUAUCAUCUUUCAAAGGAAACUCGUUUCACCGAUCUACAUAUGUCUGUUUCUUCUAAAUUUUCAGUAUUUUAUACCUCAUAAUAUUACCUACAACUUUCAUUAAGAACACACGAUCAAAUUUUAAAUGUAUGAUUUUAUAAAAAUCACAGAAUCAUACUAGGUCGAGGUAGCAUUUUCCCAGAUCCAGUUUUUUCAAAGGACAACGAUUUCACCGACCUAUUUUUGUUCAUUUCCUCUAAAUUUUUGAUAUAUUUUACCUGAAGAAGUAAACUACAACUUUCAUUAAGAACUCAAAGUGAGAUUUUUGCAAGAAAACUACUUUACAGUCCACGAAAUCACUAAAGGUCAGCACAACAAAUUCCAGAUCUAAUCUCUCCAAAAGAAAAUCGUUUCACCAGACAAUCCUUGUCCGUUUUGUCUCAAAUUUGAGUAUGUUACUUUUCAAGAUGCUCUAUACAACUUUCAUUAAGAGAUUGAAGCGAGAUUCAAACUAAAAAGUCGCAUGCAGCUCACAAACUCGUGAAGGGUCGGACUGAUUUUUCCAGAAAACAGCAUGCUAGGCCAACGAAUUUCUUCCCAAAGCUUCGACCUUUCAUCACAUCCACCACAACCGAAAGUCACCAUCUUCUACACACACAUCACAGCAAGCAAAGGGUAGAUUUUAGGACUCUACUUGCCUCUAAUCCGAGCACAAACAGCAACAAAGAUGGCGAGAAAGGCAGCGAACGAACAGCAGCGAGCUAGGCGAACGAUCGGCGAACGGUCCUCCUUCUUCUCUCUCGCACACACGGUCUCUUUGUCUCUUCCUUUCUUCCUUUCCUUUCUCUCUUUCUCUCCUCUUUCUCUCGGACGACUCCCUCUCUUUCUCUCCCUUUCCUCGCUUAAUCGGCCCCCCCGCCCCCCAUCCUCUCUAAUUUCUUCCCCCUCAUGAUUAACAAUCAUUGAUCUUGCAUGCCAGCGCCACUUGACAAUUGCCAUGCAAGAUGGGCUUGUAUCCGGCUGGGCUUGGGCCAGCUUGGUCGAUGGCAACUCCUCCUCCUCCUUUGGGCUUUGCGGGCUAGGCCCAUAUGGCCGAAUGGUGGGUGAUCAUGGGCUGGGUUUUUGGGCCGGCUUGGCCUAAGAAUUUUUUGCCAACUCUUCUCUAAUUUAAUCGUCACCUAAUCUCUCAUCAUAUAAAUACUUAAUUUCCCUUAUUCACUUGGCCAUAAAACUUGAAAUCAUAAAUCAAUAAAUUCCAACUUAUAAAACACAUGGCCAAUAAUAGAAUUUUCUUUCCUAUCAAAUAAUUAUCCACUAAAAGCUUGGCCAUAAAUCUUAUUGCAAAUCAUGGAUUAAAUGGCUACAAUACCACUUGAUGGUACUUCCAUCAACUAUUCAUAGGCCUUAAUGUAUCUGGAGGUUGCCAUGAAUUUUGGGAUGCCACAAGACCCAACCCGGAUCAUGUUCACCCGUAAUUGGAAUUAACUAGUAAAUUCAAUACUUACAACAAAGCUAGUGUUCCUUCUACCAAAGUUGAUAGAUCCCACUACAAGUACACAAGCACCGCUAUCAAUACACAAGCAUUACUUACACACUUAAACACCUCGCAGAUCACAAUUACAAUCAACAGGAACUUUCAGCAUUUGUAGCUUUCUUGUUUUUCCAUCUAUUUUUAAGCUUGUAUAAAUCUACGAUAUAAUCUUGAAUCUCCAACUUAGUCGUUGGACUUAAUAAACGCAAUCAAGGGAAGAUUUGAUAGCUCAUAAAAUUGGAUCUUUUUGGUAAUAGCGAGAUUUCCUAAAAUAAAGUUGCUAUUUGUGUCGAUCGUCGGUUCCUUUGAUUGACCGAGUAAAAUAAGUAAUAAUUAAUUUGAUUUAAAUCCUGUUUUUCUUUCCAAAAAUCUAGGCCUAGAAUCUAAGCUUUCCAAUUCUUUUGACCAACGAAUUAAGUAAAAGGAAUAUCCAGAUCUUCCAAGUAAGAAUAGUGCAAAUGCUAUAACUUUUAUGCGGCACUCACUUGAGUGUCACAGCUUCUUCUUCUUUUUCACUCUCUUAGAUGCCAUAAAUUUGAAAAAUCGAUCAUUUGAAUAUCAUCACCGAUUUUCCUUACCAAAAAAUCCAACAUGAAUGCCGGUCGUCCUAUACAGCUUCAUUAAUUCUAACAUUGAAAGUUUUUUUUUUUUAAUUUUUUUUUGAAUUUUUUAUUUUUAUUUUUAUUUUGUCUUUUUUAGGGCUGGUGAGGGUCAUCAGUGACCUUCACUGGUUGUGAAACCCUCGCCCAACUCGAGCAAGGGCCUUCGCAGCUAAAGACGAGGCGGCCCUCACCCAAUAUGGGCAACCUUGCCAACCUUGAUAGAAAAAGGAAAAAUAAAAUUCAAAAAUUCAAAAAAUUCCGUGUUGGAUGGGAGAUUAAUAAAUAAAAAAUCGAUAUAGGAUGAUCUACAAGAAAUUACACUCAUAUGAUCGAUUUUACUCCAAUAUGGUACUUAAAUAAGCGAAAAAAUAGUUAUGGUACUCAUAAAAGGGUCGUACAAAAGUUAUAGCAUUUGCAUUGUUCUUCAUUCUAGAUCUUCAUAUCCAAUUAGGGUAAGCAAAUGAUAAAUGUAUUCAUCACAGUUGAUAAAAGGAGCUGCCUUUAUCAGCAAUUUAGUGAAUUUAUCCAGGCUUCCCCCUAGAAAUCGACUUUUGAACUAAGCGAGUACAUUAGCGAUCAUGACUUUACUCAGCUAUUUACAUCACUCAAAAUAAAAAUAAAAAACUGCAUUUAUUCAAUAAUAAUGAGAAAUAGAUGAUUUGUUAACUUCAAAAUAUCAUAGAAUGUUUUCCCAAUGUAAGUAAGGUAGAGUUUGUUAAGAUAUGAAAUCUUUUUUGAUUUAUCUUUUGAAUAUGAAAUCUUUUUGAUAUCUUUUUGAAUUUCAUAUUAGCAUACCAAUUAUAGAUGAGUAUACAAGAAUCAACUCUCUACCUCUCACGAAACUCACGUUCUGUUUCAGAAUUUUUGCAAGAACUUAAAGCCCUUGCCGAUGAAUUAGCAAUCAUUGACACUCCUACUUCUGAUGAUGAUUUAGUCAUUCAUGCACUUCGAGGACUUGGUGAGAACUUAUGAAAUCAAGAAUACAGAAGAUGAGGAUGAAGAACAAUAGCAGAUGAUCUGUGAAGAAGUUUUCGAUACUGUAUUUCUAUUCAUUUGAAGAGAUAGAAAAAUACAGCAGAAACUCUCUGAAUCAUUAUGUUCUUCUUAACCUUGAAUCGAUUACAAUACCUCUCUAUAUAUGGACAGAAAGCGGAAGACUAACUACUGGAAAAACGAACUAACUAACUUCAACUAACAAACUUUACAGCUGAAUAUAACAGAACUGUAAUCUUGAGACUUGGCAAUCCAUGUCUUUGACAUUUGUAUGAUCUCCACCGUUGAUGAAACUCGUUAUCCAUGAGUUAUCAAUUUCUUCAGCUCUUUUACUUCUUGAUUGCCUUCUGGUGAUCCACAUCUACCAUAGUCGAGGACCUCACCUCCUGUGGUUGAUUUCUCGAUAUUGCAGACUUGGCUUUUCGAUCUUGAUUCUCUAACAUUCCCCCUCAAAUUGGGAAGAGUAAAGGAUUUGAUUCCCAAUUUGGUUCGGAGAGUAAAAUGAGAUAAGCGGGAUAGUGACUUAGUAAAUAUAUCAGCUAAUUGUAGAUGAGUAGAGAUAUACUGAAUACGAAUAGAUCCAGAAGAGACUUUCUCACGGACAAAGUGAAAAUCAACUUCAAUGUGCUUGGUUCGAGCAUGUAAUAUUGGAUUGGCGGUGAGAGAAAUUGCUGAUUUGUUGUCACAAUAUAUAGUGGUAGGUGGCUGAAGAGAAAUCCCUAUAUCUCGUAGCACAAACGUGAUCCAGGUGAGUUCAGCAGUGGUCGAAGCAAGUGCACGAUACUCUGCUUCAGUUGAGGAUCUAGAAACAGUAGGUUGUUUCUUAGCAGACCAGGAUAGUAGAUUGGAUCCAAGAAACGUGCAAAAUCCUGUUGUGGAACGUCGUGUUGUUGGACAACCAGCCCAAUCCGCAUCAGAGAAACCAUAGAGAUGUACUGAACUUUGAGAAUGGAUGUAGAUUCCAAGAUGUACAGUACCUUUGACAUAUCGAAGUACUCUUUUUAAUUGAUGAAAAUCUCCUACAGUAGGCUGUUGCAUUUUUUGACAGAGAAGAUUAGUAGCAAAUGCCAGGUCUGGUCGAGUGAUGGUUAAGUAUUGAAGAGCACCAACUAAGCUUCUGUAUUCCAUAGGAUCUGUAAGUAGAUUUGCAGUGUCAGCCAUGGAGAUUGAUCGAAGAGGCAGAGGUGUUGAGACUAGUUUACAGUCGGCCAUAUAAGCUCGUUUCAACAAGUCAGUAGCAUAUUUAGUUUGACACAGAAAGAGAUUCUGUGAAGUUCGUUUGGCCUCAAUGCCCAAAAAAUAGUGAAUAUACCCAAGGUCCUUCAUAUGAAACUGAAGACUAAGUUUCUGAAUAAGGGCAGUUAAGAGAUGUGGUGAACUCCCAGUCAAGAUGAUAUCAUCAACAUAUAGGAGCAAUAGAAUUGUAUGUGAGUUUGUAUGCAAAACAAAUAACGAUGGAUCGGCUGUGCUGCAGAAGAAACCAUUUUCGAUUAAAAAUUUGCUGAAUUUAUCAAACCAAGCUCUUGGUGCUUGUCGAAGGCCAUAUAGAGACUUGUGAAGCAAACAGACAUGGCUUGGCUGAUAAGGAUUGAUAAAGCCAGGUGGCUGUUCCAUGUACACAGUCUCGUUCAAAUCUCCAUGAAGAAAGGCAUUCUUAACAUCAAGCUGGUAUAUUGGCCAGUGCCUUAUCAUAGCAAGAGAUAACACUAUUCGAAUUGUUGUGUGUUUCACAACUGGACUGAAAGUCUCAGUGAAGUCCAGUCCUUCUUCCUGGUGAAAGCCUUUGGCGACUAGACGAGCUUUGAGUCUGUCAAGACCACCAUCUUGUGUGAGUUUGGUCUUAUAGACCCACCUGCAGCCUAUUACAUUCAUCUGGUUAGUUCUAGGAAUCAAUGUCCAUGUUUGAUUUUCAGCAAGCGCAUCCAUCUCUUCUUUCAUAGCCCUAUACCAGGCUUGAUAGCUAAAGCUGACUGACAGAACUUUGGUUCCAUAGGAACUGGAUAAUCAGCUAAAUAAGCAUACUUGGAUUUGGUUUUCGAAUUCCAGACUUUAGUCGAGUCUGCAUAUGAUGAUUAUUACUUGUACCUUGAGAGGAAGAAAGAAUGGAAAUGGGAAUUGGAGUGCCUUUCAUUAGAACUACCUUCAGCUAGUAGAUCAUUGUGUGAAGAUAAAGAACUGGUAGUAUGUUGUCCUUGAGAAAUAGAAUAAUCUUGAGACACAGCAUCUAUAGAUUGUUCUUCUGUAAUUGUCUCAUCUUGCAUAUUCCUCGAGGAAAUGAUCUGAGAUUGUUGUCUGUGACAUGGAUGAUAAGUAUAGCAAUCAUGGAAAUCAGGAUGGAUCUGAUUUGUGACUGAUUGAUGAGUGGAUCCAAUAGCUGGUGACUCGGUGCUUGAUGACUCGAGAAAAUGUAUUCCUUCACUCCAUUGUUUGUAUAAGUUUGUAUAAUGUCCAUAUUCAUUGAUCAGCUUCUUUGUAAAAGGAUAGGAAUACUCAUCAAAGACAACAUGCCUACUGAUGUAUACACGAUUAUUAGUUGGGACCAAACAUCGAUACCCUUUGUGCUGAUUGCUAUAACCCAAGAAGAUACAGGGGAGAGAUCGAGGAUCAAGUUUAUGACUUGCAUACGGUCUUAAGCAAGGAUAGCAUGUACAGCCAAAUACUCUUAAAUGAUCAUACCUUGGCUGUCUAUUAUGAAGUUUGUUAUAAGGUGUGUCCAUCUGCAACUUUGGUGUGGGAAGAAUGUUGAUGAUGUAAUUAGCUGUCACAAAUGCAUCCACCCAAAAUUUCAGUGGAACUUUGGAGUGAUAGAGCAUAGCUAAUCCAAGUUCAACGAUGUGUCGAUGCUUUCUUUCGGAGACCCCAUUCUGUUCUGGAGUGUGAGAACAUGAUAUGAACUGUCUUAUUCCAUGGUGACUCAGAAAUUUUUGAAAUCUAAUGCUUACGAACUCUCCUCCUCCAUCACUCUGGAAGAUUUUAAUCUGAUGAUUAUACUGUCGUUCAACUAACUUCUGAAAUUGAACAAAUAUAUCAUAAAACUCAGAUUUCAACUUCAUGGGAUAUAGCCAGCAAUAUCGAGAGAAAUUGUCAACAAAAAUCACAUAAUAUCUAAACUUUUGAAAGGAACAGACUGGUGAUGGUCCCUAUAUGUCACAAUGAAUUCUUUCUAAUGGAGAACUUGAUGUAGAAUCCGAAAAAGGAAAUGAUAGAGCUGAACUUUUGGCUAUUUGACAGCUGCUGCAAACAACUUGAGAUGAUGAAACAAAUUGUAUAAGCUUCUGUUUUUGUAGAUGCUUAACUACUUGAGCAUUUGUAUGAGCCAAACGCUGAUGCCAUAUGUCUUCACCGACUGUCUUUUGCCGCUGAGUAAAGAAGGCUUCUGUGGUCUGUGGAUUAGCUUGAUAAAGACCUCUAAUUUUCCUUCCGGGCUUCACCAUUGUGUUGGUAUUGUUGUCCUUUACAUAAACACCAGUUUUGUCAAAGAUAAAGGAACAAGGGAAGUCAUCUGUGAGUUUAGAUACUGAAAGGAGAUUCUUCUUUAUCUCUGGGACAAUUAGAACAUCGUUCAGAGGUAAUGUAUUGUUCUUUGUUUUGAGCCAGGUGUUGCCAAUGUGAGUUACAGGUAAACAUGAUCCAUUGCCUAUCAUAACAGUAUCAUGUCCUUGAUAUUUAGAAAGAGUAUGGAGCAUACCAGGAUCAGCACUAAUGUGAGCUGUAGCUCCAGAGUCAGGAUACCACUCACUGCCUGUUGACUCUUCAAUAUGCAUUGCUGUCAAGGCUGCUGGAAUAUCUUCUACUUGAUAAGAAUUGUCAAACCGAUACCAGCAGCGAAGAGCAUCAUGUCCAGACUUUUUACAUAUUUGACACUCUAAUCGAAUGCUACUUGUUUCUUUUUCAUUCUGCAAAUUUUUACUAGAGUUUGCAGAAGGAUAAGUCUUGACAUUUUGGUACCUUUGUGAGUAAGUGGUAUAGGGUCUAAACCCUUGGUUUGUUGUAGGGAUAACAUUUCUCUGUCUAGGGUGUUGAUUUCCUUGCCCUGGACUGGAGAUAUCUGUUCUGUAAUUCUGAUAUCUUUCAAAACCACGACCCCUAUUGUUACCAGUUCUGCCACGACCAUAACUUCGACCACCUCUGUAUCCUCCUCUUUCAGAUACAAAUCCAGAAUCUUGAGAAAAGUAGUUUUCAUUUGUGAUAUCUUUAGACUGAACUUGAAACUGUCUUUGUCCAAAAUACGCCAAAUUCGGGUUGAACUGACUCCUGGAAAAGUUUUUGAGUCUUGAUUCAAACCUUUGUAAUUGAGCAAUAACCUCAUCAUACUCUGGCUGAGGCUUCAAACAAUAUAUGGUAGUCCGAAAGUUCUCAUACUCAGGACCUAAACCUUCCAAGACACCAAACAUCUUGGUUAUAUCAUCCACAGGUUUGCCUAUUGCAUUCAACUGAUCACAUAUGGAUUUAUAUUCCCUGAGAUAAUCAGCAAGGGUUUGUUCAUGCUUGUGACAUGUUUGCAGUUUCCCCCUUAAUUCGAACUCUCUAGCAAUUGAUUUUUGUGUAAAUCUUUUCAGAAGAGUUUGCCAUACUUCGGAUGAUGUUUCUAAUCCAAUUAUUAGGCUCAGAAUAUUUUCAGUAACAGCUCCAGAGAUCCAUGAUGAAAUCAACUUAUCUGUUCUAGUCCAGUCAGUGUGAUCUGGAUUAAUAAGAUCAGUUUCACAACCUUCAUCCUCUGUUUGCAGCAUUCGAGAGGGUGAAGUAAUAUCUCCAUUAACAAAACCAAACAGAUCUUGGCUUUUCAAAAACCUUUGGAUCUGAGCUUGCCACAAUAGGAAGUUGUCUUCAGCAAGUUUGAUUGUGACGAAGUUUGUGAUAUUCACAUGUAUCGGAAAAGGAUAUUUUGGAGUUCUAAUCGCCAUUAUUAUGAUUCUUUGAAGAAGAUGAUAACAGUAAUGCUUAUGAGCUCUAGGCCUGUAUGAGUUUACCUUGAUCCAGAGAGCUUCAGUGUUCGUUUACUUCUUCUGACUUGAUGCACGAACUGGUUACUCGAUAGAUUCUGUUCUGAUGCACGUCGAUCUUCCUGCUCUGAUCUUCCUGCUCUGAUACCAUGAGAACUUAUGAAAUCAAGAAUACAGAAGAUGAGGAUGAAGAACAAUAGCAGAUGAUCUGUGAAGAAGUUUUCGAUACUGUAUUUCUAUUCAUUUGAAGAGAUAGAAAAAUACAGCAGAAACUCUCUGAAUCAUUAUGUUCUUCUUAACCUUGAAUCGAUUACAAUACCUCUCUAUAUAUGGACAGAAAGCGGAAGACUAACUACUAGAAAAAUGAACUAACUAACUUCAACUAACAAACUUUACAGCUGAAUAUAACAGAACUGUAAUCUUGAGACUUGGCAAUCCGUGUCUUUGACAUUUGUAUGAUCUCCACCGUUGAUAAAACUCGUUAUCCAUGAGUUAUCAAUUUCUUCAGCUCUUUUACUUCUUGAUUGCCUUCUGGUGAUCCACAUCUACCAUAGUCGAGGACCUCACCUCCUGUGGUUGAUUUCUCGAUAUUGCAGACUUGGCUUUUCGAUCUUGAUUCUCUAACACUUGGAACUGAAUACAAAGAAAUCGCAGCAGCGAUUAGGGCUCGUGAAAAAGCUCACAAUUUGUGAAUGAUUUUUCAUAUCACUUAAUUUACAGAUUGUACACGCUUAUAAAGAGAAAGAAAAAUACAAUCUUUGAUAGAGCAAGAAUCAUGGAAUGCCAACUCAUCUACACUUGGUAUGAUAAUAUGAAAUUCAAAAAGAUAUCAAAAAGAUGUCAUAUUCAAAAAAUAAUAUCAAAAAAGAUUUCAUAUCUUAACAGGGCUUACGUGUGAAGUAUACCUUAAAGCAGUCCAAAACCGUUGAAGUUGAUCAAAUCUUGUGGGAAGGAUUUUGUGUGUGUGUGUGGGGUGAGUGUGUGUAUUGAGAGAUUAGUUCGAGAGAAAUUGUGAGGAUCGAGCAAUGUGUGAGAUAUUAUGUGUGAUUGAGGAUUAGGAAACACAAGAAGUGUUUAAAUAACUCAAGUAUAAUUGUAAUAUUUUUUUAUACCACUUGAUUUACAGUGGAAUAUUCUACUGGAUUUCCCAUGGAAUAUAUCGCAUUUGACUUAACCACAUAAAUCCAGCCUCCAAUCGAUAUAUUUCUUUGUUCAUUUAUUCUAUUGUUUGAUCUUUUUGUUUUCGCAACAAAAAGAGUAGAGUUAGUUACCAGGCGAUGUCUUCAAACGAACAAGACCUAAAAAUGUUGAUUUAGGCUCGUGAGAAGACGAACAGAGAAUCGACAAUUGAAGAAAUCGUUGGUACAUAUGUCCGAAUUAGCCAGGCUACUUUCGUUCUGUAGAAAAGAUCUCCAAAAAUAGAAAUAUAUACGUGAACAACUAUUUCGAAUAAAGGGCCAAAUCCCUUCUAGAUUACAAGAUAGGUUGCAGACGGUUCAGGCCCGUCGAUUUUUUGUUCAUGGAAUUGCCCGCACCACCUUUUUUCACUCGCCGACUUCCUUGCAUCGUCUUUCAACCGCCAUCAAACUAACCUUCUUCUUAUUCCUUCUCUGUCCAAACGUACGUGUGCUUCUCGUUAGGGUUUCCUCCCAUAUAAACCCAGCCCUUUCCUUCACAUGAACCCAGAAAAAAUACACCAGAAAAUCAAUAACCAAAUUCCCUCGCCGCACACCGCCUUCUUCAAUGGAUUCACCGAGCCAGAAACUAAUGAUAUCGCUCGUGUUUUGCCUUGCUGUCUUCUUCUCCGCAUCUUCAGCCAGUGCAGAAUCCGUGCUGGUACGCGAGCUUUGCAGGGCAACCAAAGUUAACCCAGAAUGCGUCGCCGCUCUAAACCCUGACCCACGGGCUGCAAAAGCGACUUCACAUCUUUCUCUCGGUGAAAUCGCUUUGCAAAUAGCGGCGGAGAACACUACCAAGAGGCAGGAGUUAUUGGACCAAAUGCUUGUGGACCCAAACACGACAUCUUCAUGGAAGCCGGUGCUCAAGACUUGUAAGGCUCACUUCGAAACUGCGGCCAGGCAGUUCUCAACUGCAAGUCGCGAACUUGGAUUGGACGCAAUGUCUGCAAAUUAUGAUGUCUGGAUGGCCUCCGACGAAAUCGACGCCUGCUUGGCGUUCAUGAGAAUUUCCAAGCAGGACAUUCCACCGUUAGUUACCAGUUGCAAUUAUGUUAAAACUCUCGUUUCCAUUGGUGAUGCCAUCACCAAUAGGUGGUAACGACGAGCAUGGAUUGAAAUUUCUAUGAUAAUGUGGAGCGAGGGGGAAUUAUAUUUCUGUAACAACGAUUUCUUGUCGAAUGCUUGCGCUGUACGUGCAAUUGCUGCAAUAAAAUUUUGAUUUAGCAACAUAUAUGUGGUGUUGUCCAACCAAUUAGAAAAUAGAGCAAAAGCAGCCAUUUUUACAGCUUCUCUCUAAUUUGGUGGAUUAUAUUUCUGUAACAAUGAUUUUCUUGUUGAAUGCUUAGUACAUGCAAUUGCUACAAGAAUAUUUCUAUAUAGCAACAUUUCUGUGGUGGUGUCUAACCAGUUAGAAAAUAGAGCAAAAGCAGCCAUUUUGGCAGCUUCUCUCUUAUUUGGCGGAUUAUAUUUCUGUAACAAUGAUCUUCUCGUUGAAUGCUUAGUAGAUGCAAUUGCUACAAGAAUAUUUCUAUUUAGCAACAUUUCUAUGGAAUUGUCCAACCAGUUAGGAAAUAGAGAAAAAGCAGCCAUUUUUGCGGCUUCUCUCUAAUUUGGUACAAACAAACAAAGAUUACUCGUUUGAUGUAAUGAUUCCAACUCUUUUCCAAAGAAACCUUAAAUCACAGUAUGAUCAUAAUAUCCUAGCAAAGAAUAGUAUCAAAUUUGGUUCGUUUAUUUUAGUUUUUAUUUUUUAUAAAACAACUAUUCACUGCCUAAAGAAUGACCAAAAAAAGUAUCGAAGUACGCUUCUCCUUUGGCAAAAGCCAUUUUGCCCCAAGAUUUUGGUGGAUUUGUGAUGGUAUGUAUGAAUUUAGGAUUUUGUGUAAUAUGAUUUUUCAAGUAAAUAUGAUGCGGGUAUGCUGGUUAGAGAUAAUAACUGAUAAGAUUGAUAAUAUUACUGGUAAACCAUCGGAAGAUUACUUUUUUUCAUUAGAUUUAGAAGUGAACCACUAUUUCCUCAUUUUCUUGGAGACAUAUAUUCAUAUUCAAUCAUGUCUUUUAUGUCUUUAGGUUAUUUAGGUGGAAAAUUCAACCAAGAGGGUGGUGAAUAAGUUGAUUCUCAAAACUUUAGAUUUUUUCGGGAACAACUCAAGUUAAUUUUGAUAGAUGUUGGAACAAUUUGAUUAUGUCAGAUUAAUGAUGCUUCUACGAGAUAAAUAAUGAAAUAAGUAGAGAGAUAGAAGGAGUUGCAAGCAAAUCUUAUAGUGAUUUAGCUUAGAUUAAGUUAGAUUAAGUCUACAUUCAUUCAUUCUCCCAAAGUAAUAGCAAUCAACAAGAUUGAAAGGGUGUGGCCCAACUAGACCACAGUAGGACUAGGCCGGUCCUUGGUCCUAGGACCCUGCACUCUACAUUGUAUGGGUUAAUCCUCAAUUUUAGGACUUCUGGAGCAACUCUAUAUAUUACAUAUAUGAUUUAUACAAGAUAUAUCAUAUAUUUUAUAUUUUAUAUUUCUUUGUUUAUUCUAAAUCUCGGCGCCUCCACUUUUGUUAUUUCUUAUAUGGUUCUAUCGUGUAAAUUAUAUACCAAGCCUGGAAAAAGAAAAAGAAAUCCUCUUCACUCACCUUGCUCACCGCUCACCUCUCUUCAUUGGCUCACUCGCCUCACGAGUGCAAUUCAAAUGGUGAAAUCACUCGCCUCUCUUGGCCCGCCUCACAAAUGUAGCUCAAUAAUCGCAAUGAUUUUUUUUGUUAUAUUAUCUUAGAUUUACAUUUGAUAUGUACUAAUAUUCAUAAUCCGGUUGGCCAAUGUCGCAUUAUUGAUGGAUAUAUAAUUUGAAAAUGCAUGUUUUUCCUUUCAAGGAAUACAAAAAAUGAAAAAAAAAAAAAAAAAAAUUGGUAGGUCUUAAAUUGACCUUGGAACCAGACCGAAUCGAUAGGGUCAGUUUGGUCCAGUCUUUGGUCAGAGGCUCAAUAGGGUCGGUCUCUAGUUCCAAAAAUUAAGGACCGAUACCAUGUGAAUUGGCCCUUGGGUUAAGUACUCGACAGACCCAACCCGGAUCAUGGAUCAUGCUCACCCGUAAUUGGAAUUAACUAGUAAAUUCAAUACUUACAACAAAGCUAAUGUUCCUUCUACCAAAGUUGAUAGAUCCCACUACAAGUACACAAGCACCGCUAUCAAUACACAAGCAUUACUUACACACUUAAACACCUCGCAAAUCACAGUUACAAUCAAUAGGAACUUUCAGCAUUUGUAGCUUUCUUGUUUUUCCAUCUAUUUUUAAGCUUGUAUAAAUCUACUAUAUAAUCUUGAAUCUCCAACUUAGUCGUUGGAAUUAAUAAACGCAAUCACGGGAAGAUUUGAUAGCUCAUAAAAUCGGAUCUUUUGGUAAUAGCGAGCUUUCCGAAAAUAAAGUCGCUAUUUGUGUCGAUCGUGGGUUCCUUUGAUUGACCGAGUAAAAUAAGUAAUAAUUAAUUUGAUUUAACUCCAUUUUUUCUUUCCAAAAUUCCAGGCCUAAAAUCUAAGCUUUCCAAUUCUUUUGACCAACAAAUUAAGUCAAAGGAAUAUCCAGAUCUUCCAAGUAAGAACAGUGCAAAUGCUAUAACUUUUAUGCAACACUCACUUGAGUGUCACAGCUCUCUUUUUUUUUCGCUCUCUUAGAUGCCAUAAAUUUGAAAAAUCGAUCAUUUGAAUAUCAUUACCGAUUUGCCUUGCCAAAAAAUCCAACAUGAAUGCCGGUCAUCCUAUACAGCUUCAUUAAUUCUAACAUGGAAUUUUUUUUAUCUUUUUAAUUAUUUAUUUUUAUUUUUAUUUUGUCUUUUUUAGGGCUGCUGGUGAGGGUUAUCGGCGACCUUCACUGGUUGUGAAACCCUCGCCCAAUUCGAGCAAGGGCCUUCACAGCUAAAGACGAGGCAACCCUCACCCAAUAUGGGCAACCUUGCCAACCUUGAUAGAAAAAGGAAAAACAAAAAUAAAAUAAAAUAAAAAAUUCAAAAAUUCCGUGUCGGAUGGGAGAUUAAUAAAAAAAAAAAUCGAUAUAGGACGAUCUACAGGAAAUUACACUCAUAUGAUCGAUUUUACUCCAAUACGGUACUUAAAUAAGCGAAAAAAUAGUUAUGGUACUCAUAAUAGGGUCAUACAAAAGUUAUAGCAUUUGCGUUGUUCUUCUUUCUAGAUCUUCAUAUCCAAUUAGGGUAAGCAAAUGAUAAAUGUAUUCAUCACAGUUGAUAAAAGGAGCUGCCUUUAUCAGCAAUUUAGUGAAUUUAUCCAAGCUUCCCCCUAGAAAUCGACUUUUGAACUAAGCGAGUACAUUAGCGAUCAAGACUUUACUCAGCUAUUUACAUCACUCAAAAUAAAAAUAAAAAUAAAAAUCUGCAUUUAUUGAAUAAUAAUGAGAAAUAGAUGAUUUGUUAACUUCAAAAUAUCAUAGAAUGUUUUCCCAAUGUAAGUAAGGUAGGGUUUGUUAAGAUAUGAAAUCUCUUUUGAUAUAACUUUUGAAUAUGAAAUCUUUUUGAUAUCUUUUUGAAUUUCAUAUUCGCAUACCAAUUGUAGAUGAGUUGGCAUUCCAUGAUCCUUGCUCCGUCAAAGAUUGUAUUUCUAUCAAAUCUCUACCGCUCGCCGAAACUCACGNNNNNNNNNNNNNNNNNNNNNNNNNNNNNNNNNNNNNNNNNNNNNNNNNNNNNNNNNNNNNNNNNNNNNNNNNNNNNNNNNNNNNNNNNNNNNNNNNNNNNNNNNNNNNNNNNNNNNNNNNNNNNNNNUCGCAGCAGCGAUUAGGGCUGGUGAAAAAGCUCAAAAUAUGUGAGUGAUUUUUCAUAUCACUUAAUUUACAGAUUGUACACGCUUAUAAAGAGAAAUAAAAAUACAAUCUUUGAUAGAGCAAGAAUCAUGGAAUGCCACCUCAUCUACACUUGGUAUGAUAAUAUGAAAUUCAAAAAGAUAUCAAAAAGAUUUCAUAUUCAAAAAAUAAUAUCAAAAAAGAUUUCAUAUCUCAACAAGGCUUACGUACCUUAAAGCAAUCCAAAAGCGUUGAAGUUGAUCAAAUCUUGUGGGAAGGAUUUUGUGUGCGUGUGUGGGGUGAGUGUGUGUAUUGAGAGAUUAGUUCGAGAGAAAUUGUGAGGAUCGAGCAAUGUGUGAGUUAUUAUGUGUGAUUGAGGAUUAGGAAACACAAGAAGUGUUUAAAUAACUCAAGUAUAAUUGUAAUAUUUUUUUAUACCACUUGAUUUAUAGUGGAAUAUUCUACUGGAUUUCCCAUGGAAUAUAUCACAUUGACUUAACCACAUAAAUCCAGCCUCCAAUCGAUAUAUUUCUUUGUUCAUCUAUUCUAUUGUUUGAUCUUUUUGUUUUCCCAACAAAAAGGGUAGAGUUAGUUACCAGGCGAUGUCUUCAAACGAAUAAGUAGUUACCAGGCGAUGUCUUCAAACGAAUAAGUAGUUACCAGGCGAAGUCUUCAAACGAACAAGACCUAAAAAUGUUGAUUUAGGCUCGUGAGAAGACGAACAGAGAAUCGACAAUUGAAGAAAUCGUUUGUACAUAUGUCCGAAUUAGCCAGGCUACUUUCGUUCUGUAGAAAAGAUCUCCAAAAAUAGAAAUAUAUACGUGAACAAUUAGUUCGAAUAAAGGGCCAAAUCCCUUCUAGAUUACAAGAUAGGUUGCAGACGGUUGCCGGUCGUUUUUUUGUUCACGGAAUUGCCCGCACCACCUUUUUUCACUCGCCGACUUCCUUGCAUCGUCUUUCAACCGCCAUCAAACUAAUCUCCUUCUUAACCCUUCUCUGUCCAAACGUACGUGUGCUUCUCGUUAGGGUUUCCUCCCAUAUAAAACCAGCCCUUUCCUUCACAUGAACCCAGAAAAAAUACACCAGAAAAUCACUAACCAAAUUCCCUCGCCGCGCACCGCCUUCUUCAAUGGAUUCACCGAGCCAGAAACUAAUGAUAUCGCUCGUGUUUUGCCUUGCUGUCUUCUUCUCCGCAUCUUCAGCCAGUGCAGAAUCCGUGCUGGUACGCGAGCUUUGCAGGGCAACCAAAGUUAACCCAGAAUGCGUCGCCGCUCUAAACCCUGACCCACGGGGUGCAAAAGCGACUUCACAUCUUUCUCUCGGUGAAAUCGCUUUGCAAAUAGCGGCGGAGAACACUACCAAGAGGCAGGAGUUAUUGGACCAAAUGCUUGUGGACCCAAACACGACAUCUUCAUGGAAGCCGGUGCUCAAGACUUGUAAGGCUCACUUCGAAACUGCGGCCAUGCAAUUCUCAACUGCAAGUCGCGAACUUGGAUUGGACGCAAUGUCUGCAAAUUAUGAAGUCUGGAUGGCCUCCGACGAAAUCGUCGCCUGCUUGGCGUUCAUGAGAAGUUCCAAGCAGGACAUUCCACCAUUAGUUACCAGUUGCAAUUAUGUUAAAACUCUCGUUUCCAUUGGUGAUGCCAUCACCAAAAGGUGGUAACGACGAGCAUGGAUUGAAAUUUCUAUGAUAAUGUGCAGCGAGAGGGAAUUAUAUUUCUGUAACAACGAUCUUCUUGUCAAAUGCUUGCGCAGUACGUGCAAUUGCUGCAAUAAAAUUUUGAUUUAGCAACAUAUAUGUGGUGUUGUCCAACCAAUUAGAAAAUAGAGCAAAAGCAGCCAUUUUUACAGCUUCUCUCUAAUUUGGUGGAUUAUAUUUCUGUAAACAAUGAUCUUCCCGUUGAAUGCUUGCGCAGUACGUGCAAUUGCUACAAGAAUAUUUCUAUUUAGCAAUAUAUUUGUGGUGGUGUCCAACCAAUUAGUAAAUAGAGCAAAAGCAACCAGUUUUGCAGCUUCUCUCUAAUUUGGUGGAUUAUAUUUCUGUAACAAUGAUCUUCUUGUUGAAUGCUUAGUACAUGCAAUUGCUACAAGAAUAUUUCUAUAUAGCAACAUUUCUGUGGUGGUGUCUAACCAGUUAGAAAAUAGAGCAAAAGCAGCCAUUUUUGCAGCUUCUCUCUUAUUUGGCGGAUUAUAUUUCUGUAACAAUGAUCUUCUCGUUGAAUGCUUAGUAGAUGCAAUUGCUACAAGAAUAUUUCUAUUUAGCAAUAUUUCUAUGGAAUUGUCCAACCAGUUAGAAAAUAGAGAAAAAGCAGCCAUUUUUGCGGCUUCUCCCUAAUUUGGUACAAACAAACAAAGAUUAAUCGUUUGAUGUAAUGAUUCCAACUCUUUUCCAAAGAAAUCUUAAAUCACAGUAUGAUCAUAAUAUCCUAGCAAAGAAUAGUAUCAAAUUUGGUUCGUUUAUUUUAGUUUUUAUUUUUCAUAAAACACCUAUUCACUGCCUAAAGAAUGACCAAAAAAAGUAUCGAAGUACGCUUCUCCUUUGGCAAAAGCCAUUUUGCCCCAAGAUUUUGGUGGAUUGGUGAUGGUAUGUAUGAAUUUAGGAUUUUGUGUAAUAUGAAAAAUUAAUUUUGAGUAAAUAUGAUGCGGGUAUGCCGGUUAGAGAUAAUAACUUAUAAGUUUGAUAAUAUUACUGGCAAACCAUCAGAAGAUUACUUUUUUCAUUAGAUUUAGAAGUGAACCACUAUUUCCUCAUAUUGCUGGAGACAUAUAUUCAUAUUCAAUCAUGUCUUUUAUGUCGUUAGGUUAUUUAGGUGGAAAAUUCAACCAAGAGGGUGGUGAAUAAGUUGAUUCUCAAAACUUUAGAUUUUUUCAGGAACAACUCAAGUUAAUUUUGAUAGAUGUUAGAACGAUUUGAUUAUGUCAGAUUAAUGAUGCUUCUACGAGAUAAAUAAUGAAAUAAGUAGAGAGAUAGAAGGAGUUGCAAGCAAAUCUUAUAGUGAUUUAGCUUAGAUUAAGUCUACAUUCAUUCUCCCAAAGUAAUAGCAAUCAACAAGAUUGAAAGGGUGUGGCCCAACUAGACCACAGUAGGACUAGGCCGGUCCUUGGUCCUAGGACCCUGCACUCUACAUUGUAUGGGUUGUUCCUCAAUUUUAGGACUUCCGGAGCAACUCUAUAUAUUACAUAUAUGAUUUAUACAAGAUAUAUCAUAUAUUUUAUAUUUUAUAUUUCUUUGUUUAUUUUAAAUCUUGGCACCUCCACUUUUGUUAUUUCUUAUAUGGUUCUAUCGUGUAAAUUAUAUACCAAGCCUGGAAAAAGAAAAAGAAAUCCUCUUCACUCACCUCUGCUCCCCCGCUCACCUCUCUUCACCCCGCUCCACUCGCCUCACGAGUGCAAUUCAAUUGGUGAAAUCACUCGCCUCUCUUGGCCCGCCUCACAAAUGUAGCUCAAUAAUCGCAAUGAUUUUUGUUGUUAUAUUAUCUUAGAUUUACAUUUGAUAUGCACUAAUAUUCAUAAUUUGGUUGGCCAAUGUCGCAUUAUUGAUGGAUAUAUAAUUUGAAAAUGCAUGUUUUUCCUUUCAAGGAAUACAAAAAAUGAAACAAAAUAAAUAAAUAAUUGGUAGGUCUUAAAUUGACCUUGGAACCAGACCGAAUCGAUAGGGUCAGUUUGGUCCAGUCUUUGGUCAUAGGCUCAAUAGGGUCGGUCUCUAGUUCCAAAAAUUAAGGACUGAUACCAUGUGAAUUGGCCCUUGGGUUAAGUACUCGACAGACCCAACCCGGAUCAUGCUCAUCCGUAAUUGGAAUUAACUAGUAAAUUCAAUACUUACAACAAAGCUAAUGUUCCUUCUACCAAAGUUGAUAGAUCCCACUACAAGUACACAAGCACCACUAUCAAUUUGAUACAAAUUUAUAUUUUUUGGGAAUUAGUUGGAAUGUGUUCUUAUUUAUUAAUAGGUUUUUGGUUCACACGACCUAGUGCGGCUGUAUCCAAACUAAUACCAAUUCAACCCAUUUCAUGAAAAAAAUGUGACCAAUUAACCAACCAACAAAACUACUUGUUACAAAUAACAUCUUGUUGUUGCAUCGAAACAUAUAAAUGUUGACUAAUCUGGCUAACAUUGAACUUGGUAAAAUGAAAUCAAUAUAAAUAUUAGUUCUAAUAAAAUAAGUUAUCCUACUAAACUAUUAGCAUCAAUAAAAAAUAUUUGGCAGGACUUGAACCAGAGACCUCGCCCGUGAAGUAAAUCAUCGCACCUCCGGUCCAACCAAUUGGGAGAGAAUCAAUAGAUUCCUUUUCGGGAGCGAUUCAUCCCGAACGCAGCAUACAACUCUCCGGAAUUAACUAGUAAAUUCAAUACUUACAACAAAGCUAAUGUUCCUUCUACCAAAGUUGAUAGAUCCCACUACAAGUACACAAGCACCACUAUCAAUACACAAGCACUACUUACACACUUAAACACCUCUCAGAUCACAGUUACAAUCAACAGGAACUUUCAGCAUUUGUAGCUUUCUUGUUUUUCCAUCUAUUUUUAAGCUUGUAUAAAUCUACUAUAUAAUCUUGAAUCUCCAACUUAGUCGUUGGGCCCCAGUGGCCACCCUUCCAACUUGGAAGGGGGAGGUGAGGGGUUCAAAUCCCCACCUUCUCAGGGGGGAUGGGGGGUAGGGACGCGUACGUUUCGAGAGUGGGUUGCGACUCCCACGCCCUGCAAGAGGUAGGGCACAAGUCUGCGAGUGAGUGUAGAGUAGGCAUAGAGUAGGACUGACCAAAAAAAAAAAAACUUAGUCGUUGGAAUUAAUAAACGCAAUCACGGGAAGAUUUGAUAGCUCAUAAAAUCGGAUCUUUUUGGUAAUAGCGAGCUUUCCUAAAAUAAAGUCGCUAUUUGUGUCGAUCGUCGGUUCCUUUGAUUGACCGAGUAAAAUAAGUAAUAAUUAAUUUGAUUUAACUCCAUUUUUUCUUUCCAAAAUUCCGGGCCUAGAAUCUAAGCUUUCCAAUUCUUUUGACCAACGAAUUAAGUCAAAGGAAUAUCCAGAUCUUCCAAGUAAGAACAGUGCAAAUGCUAUAACUUUUAUGCGGCACUCACUUGAGCUUCUUUUUUUUUUUUCACUCUCUUAGAUGCCAUAAAUUUGAAAAAUCAAUCAUUUGAAUAUCAUUACCGAUUUGCCUUGCCAAAAAAUCCAACAUGAAUGCCGGUCAUCCUAUACGGCUUCAUUAAUUCUAACAUGGAAAUUUUUUUAUAAAUUUUAAUUAUUUAUUUUGAAUUAUUUAUUUUUAUUUUUAUUUUGUCUUUUUUAAGGCUGGUGAGGGUCAUCGGCGACCUUCACUGGUUGUGAAACCCUCGCCCAAUUCGAGCAAGGGCCUUCUCAGCUAAAGACGAGGCAGCCCUCACCCAAUAUGGGCAACCUUGCCAACCUUGAUAGAAAAAGGAAAAACAAAAACAAAAACAAAAAUUCAAAAAAAUAAGUAAAAAAUUCAAAAAUUCCAUGUCGGAUGGGAGAUUAAUAAAAAAAAUCGAUAUAGGAUGAUCUACAGGAAAUUACACUCAUAUGAUCGAUUUUACUCCAAUACGGUACUUAAAUAAGCGAAAAAAUAGUUAUGGUAUUCAUAAUAGGGUCAUACAAAAGUUAUAGCAUUUGCGUUGUUCUUCUUUCUAGAUCUUCAUAUCCAAUUAGGGUAAGCAAAUGAUAAAUGUAUUCAUCACAGUUGAUAAAAGGAGCUGCCUUUAUCAGCAAUUUAGUGAAUUUAUCCAAGCUUCCCCCUAGAAAUCGACUUUUGAACUAAGCGAGUACAUUAGCGAUCAAGACUUUACUCAGCUAUUUACAUCACUCAAAAUAAAAAUAAAAAUAAAAUCUGCAUUUAUUGAAUAAUAAUGAGAAAUAGAUGAUUUGUUAACUUCAAAAUAUCAUAGAAUGUUUUCCCAAUGUAAGUAAGGUAGGGUUUGUUAAGAUAUGAAAUCUGUUUUGAUAUAUCUUUUGAAUAUGAAAUCUUUUUGAUAUCUUUUUGAAUUUCAUAUUAGCAUACCAAUUGUAGAUGAGUUGGCAUUCCAUGAUCCUUGCUCCGUCAAAGAUUGUAUUUCUAUCAAAUCUCUACCGCUCGCCGAAACUCACGUUCUGUUUCAGAAUUUUUGCAGGAACUUAAAGCCCUUGCCAAUGAAUUAGCAAUCAUUGACACUCCUAUCUCUUAUGAUGAUUUAGUCAUUCAUGCACUUCGAGGACUUGGAACUGAAUACAAAGAAAUCGCAGCAGCGAUUAGGGCUCGUGAAAAAGCUCACCAUUUGUGAAUGAUUUUUCAUAUCACUUAAUUUACAGAUUGUACACGCUUAUAAAGAGAAAUAAAAAUACAAUCUUUGAUAGAGCAAGAAUCAUGGAAUGCCAACUCAUCUACACUUUGGUAUGAUAAUAUGAAAUUCAAAAAGAUAUCAAAAAGAUUUCAUAUUCAAAAAAUAAUAUCAAAAAAGAUUUCAUAUCUCAACAGGGCUUACAUACCUUAAAGCAAUCCAAAAGCGUUGAAGUUGAUCAAAUCUUGUGGGAAGGAUUUUGUGUGCGUGUGUGGGGUGAGUGUCUGUAUUGAGAGAUUAGUUCGAGAGAAAUUGUGAGGAUCGAGCAAUGUGUGAAUUAUUAUGUGUGAUUGAGGAUUAGGAAACACAAGAAGUGUUUAAAUAACUCAAGUAUAAUUGUAAUAUUUUUUUAUACCACUUGAUUUAUAGUGGAAUAUUCUACUGGAUUUCCCAUGGAAUAUAUCACAUUGACUUAACCACAUAAAUCCAGCCUCCAAUCGAUAUAUUUCUUUGUUCAUCUAUUCUAUUGUUUGAUCUUUUUGUUUUCCCAACAAAAAGGGUAGAGUUAGUUACCAGGCGAUGUCUUCAAACGAAUAAGUAGUUACCAGGCGAUGUCUUCAAACGAAUAAGUAGUUACCAGGCGAAGUCUUCAAACGAACAAGACCUAAAAAUGUUGAUUUAGGCUCGUGAGAAGACGAACAGAGAAUCGACAAUUGAAGAAAUCGUUUGUACAUAUGUCCGAAUUAGCCAGGCUACUUUCGUUCUGUAGAAAAGAUCUCCAAAAAUAGAAAUAUAUACGUGAACAAUUAGUUCGAAUAAAGGGCCAAAUCCCUUCUAGAUUACAAGAUAGGUUGCAGACGGUUGCCGGUCGUUUUUUUGUUCACGGAAUUGCCCGCACCACCUUUUUUCACUCGCCGACUUCCUUGCAUCGUCUUUCAACCGCCAUCAAACUAAUCUCCUUCUUAACCCUUCUCUGUCCAAACGUACGUGUGCUUCUCGUUAGGGUUUCCUCCCAUAUAAAACCAGCCCUUUCCUUCACAUGAACCCAGAAAAAAUACACCAGAAAAAAUACACCAGAAAAUCACUAACCAAAUUCCCUCGCCGCGCACCGCCUUCUUCAAUGGAUUCACCGAGCCAGAAACUAAUGAUAUCGCUCGUGUUUUGCCUUGCUGUCUUCUUCUCCGCAUCUUCAGCCAGUGCAGAAUCCGUGCUGGUACGCGAGCUUUGCAGGGCAACCAAAGUUAACCCAGAAUGCGUCGCCGCUCUAAACCCUGACCCACGGGCUGCAAAAGCGACUUCACAUCUUUCUCUCGGUGAAAUCGCUUUGCAAAUAGCGGCGGAGAACACUACCAAGAGGCAGGAGUUAUUGGACCAAAUGCUUGUGGACCCAAACACGACAUCUUCAUGGAAGCCGGUGCUCAAGACUUGUAAGGCUCACUUCGAAACUGCGGCCAUGCAAUUCUCAACUGCAAGUCGCGAACUUGGAUUGGACGCAAUGUCUGCAAAUUAUGAAGUCUGGAUGGCCUCCGACGAAAUCGUCGCCUGCUUGGCGUUCAUGAGAAGUUCCAAGCAGGACAUUCCACCAUUAGUUACCAGUUGCAAUUAUGUUAAAACUCUCGUUUCCAUUGGUGAUGCCAUCACCAAAAGGUGGUAACGACGAGCAUGGAUUGAAAUUUCUAUGAUAAUGUGCAGCGAGGGGGAAUUAUAUUUCUGUAACAACGAUCUUCUUGUCAAAUGCUUGCGCAGUACGUGCAAUUGCUUCAAUAAUAUUUUGAUUUAGCAACAUAUAUGUGGUGGUGUCCAACCAAUUAGAAAAUAGAGCAAAAGCAGCCAUUUUUACAGCUUCUCUCUAAUUUGGUGGAUUAUAUUUCUGUAACAAUGAUCUUCCUGUUGAAUGCUUGCGCAGUACGUGCAAUUGCUUCAAGAAUAUUUCUAUUUAGCAAUAUAUUUGUGGUGGUGUCCAACCAAUUCGUAAAUAGAGCAAAAGCAACCAGUUUUGCAGCUUCUCUCUAAUUUGGUGGAUUAUAUUUCUGUAACAAUGAUCUUCUUGUUGAAUGCUUAGUACAUGCAAUUGCUACAAGAAUAUUUCUAUUUAGCAACAUUUCUGUGGUGGUGUCUAACCAGUUAGAAAAUAGAGCAAAAGCAGCCAUUUUUGCAGCUUCUCUCUUAUUUGGCGGAUUAUAUUUCUGUAACAAUGAUCUUCUCGUUGAAUGCUUAGUAGAUGCAAUUGCUACAAGAAUAUUUCUAUUUAGCAACAUUUCUAUGCAAUUGUCCGACCAGUUAGGAAAUAGAGAAAAAGCAGCCAUUUUUGCGGCUUCUCUCUAAUUUGGUACAAACAAACAAAGAUUACUCGUUUGAUGCAAUGAUUCCAACUCUUUUCCAAAGAAAUCUUAAAUCACAGUAUGAUCAUAAUAUCCUAGCAAAGAAUAGUAUCAAAUUCGGUUCGUUUAUUUUAGUUUUUAUUUUUUAUAAAACAGCUAUUCACUGCCUAAAGAAUGACCAGAAAAAGUAUCGAAGUACGCUUCUCCUUUGGCAAAAGCCAUUUUGCCCCAAGAUUUUGGUGGAUUUGUGAUGGUAUGUAUGAAUUUAGGAUUUUGUGUAAUAUGAAAAAUUAAUUUUGAGUAAAUAUGAUGCGGGUAUGCUGGUUAGAGAUAAUAACUUAUAAGAUUGAUAAUAUUACUAGUAAACCAUCGGAAAAUUAUAUUAGAUUAUGAUUUGAUUAUGCCAUCAGAAUAUUAGAUUAAAGUAUGAUUUGAUUCUGCUAUCAAAAUAUUAGAUUAGAGUGGUACAUAUGAUUUGAUUUCGGUCAAUCUGUCAAAUUAGAUUUUCGGAAUAUAGAAUAGGAAAUCUAGUUGUCUUCUUAAUAUAAAUAGCAUUAUGUAUUGUAGAAUAAUAGCAUGUAUUAUGGCUUUCAAUGAAGAACAUUCUUCUCCUAGGAAAUUUAUCUUUGAAUCGUUGUUUUCUUGAAUCCUCAUAUUUUCUUCAAUAACUUAUACUAAAAUUAAUUUAGGGUAAAGAUAGCACAGAUGUAUUGGUUUGUGACUUUUCUGUUAUUAACUGAUAAGACAGCAUCAUAUGCAAUUAGGGAUGUCAAAAUAUUUCACAAACCCAAAGGGUUCCCUAAAGCCAUAUGAAAUUUGUAACAUGGGUCACAAUGGGCUUCGAAAAGAAAACCCUAAAAAAUGAGUUUCAGUGUGCUAUGAAUUCACUUAAUCAAAAUAGCAAAGUUCAAGAAAACAUCCCUCAGUCCCUCUCCUCUCUGAAGAAUCAAAGUCAUCUAUGGCCGACGUCACUAGCCAUUCUGCUUUUUGAUAUUUGUGGCUUUAUACCCGUUUACAUUUUGUAGAGUCCGUAAAUGGAGGGAAUUGUGCAGACCUUGCAAAGCAAGAAGAUAUUGAUGAUUUUCUUGUCAGUAGUGCUCCCUUGAAUUUAUAUUCUACUCAAUCAUUUCUCAUAAAGCUUGACAAUCACAUGUUUUUUCACCACCAAAAAAAAAAAAGGCUAACGAUCAUCAUGAUCCUGCUAAUUUGUGUAUGAGUUGACAUGUGAUGCAGGGUCCUCAGUCUGUUACAUUUGUCAACGUUGUAACAUCCCAAAAAAUCGCAGCUUGAUGAAUAUUGAUGCAGUUUUCACAAGGAGAGCUAAUAAUGGGCGACCAGAAUGCAAUCAUACCGAAGCAUAGCGCAUCAAAAGUUAUGAGCUGGUUCUACACAAGUCGAUUUUUCCCAGUCGUUAAAUGUCGUUCCCUUUAAUGGGUCUUAGGAAUUUGCCAUCUAUUGAUUUUACAUUUGCCGAACUUCUAUGGUGUAGAUGAAUAGAAGACAAUAUGUCCCAUAGUUUUCCCGUAUCAAGAAGAGUAAGUGUCCCUAAAACUUGGAACUUGCUGAGGAGUCUUUGUAUUGAAAAGAAUAAUGAAUGUGAUGCGAUGAUGUUGAUGGCUACUGUUUUUUUCUGAUCCGACAUAUACCAUCAUCCUCUAAACUUACAAGAGAUUUCAUAUUAGAUAAAUCACUACCUGUCCAUAUGGAGAAAGAGCCAUGCAGUGGACGGAUAAUGCGAGUGUCGAAAUCAUUCCCGGUUUCUUCAGAUUUAUAUUCAUACAAACAUCUUCUUGAAUAAUUAUUGAUGUCUCGCAUGAAGAUGAAUCAACAAUAAGUACUAUUCAAUCAUUGCAUUCAUAGUUUUAGCGAGGACAAUACUCAUUGCCCAAGCAAAGUCCUUCACCUGUCAAUUGUCAUUUCUCCGCCAGCUUCAACCCCCAUCCAUAACCAAACCUAAGUUCCCUCAUUGACUUUGGCUAGCCAAUUUAUGGAGUUGUCCAUUCCUCAAAGGCAACAUUUUAAGGAGAAAAAACACUAACAAUGUAGCUUAGGUUGGAUUGAAAAUGAAUUGCUAAAAUUAUAUUACAUAAAAAUAAAUUAACAUGAAUUAAAUGAGUCAAUUUGGUACAAGAUUGUCACACUAAUAACAUGAGAUCUUGUGUUUUGAUUCGCCAAACUUGUGAUAUGAUGUAAAAGUCUCAGAUUUUUUUUUUUUUAAUACAAAUUGUAUCAGAUUCCAAAUCUUGUACUGUCAAACGAAAGUGGUUCUAUCUUCUUCUUCUUCUUCUUUUUCCAAAGAAACGAAUUAAUUAGUGCUUGCUCGGAAAUUUCUAAAAUUAACUCCUUGUAAUAUCGUACUUUGAUUAUACUUUCAUUUUACACUUGAUUACUUAACAUUGUGAAUAUUUUAACAAUUUAUCAUGAAGUUUUUGUACUAAGUUACGAUAAUGUAUUGUAAAAUUGUACAGUAUGAAAAUUGUACUGUAAAAGCAUUCAUACUUGCAUUUUAAUUGUUUCUGUGACAAUUGCGUAAAAAUGAGCGAUCAAGUAUAAUAAUAAACGGACCGAAGAAAUCCAUCGGACACGAGAUCUAUGUAGUUAAGGGAACUACUUUACAGGACGAGUAGCACAAAGUAGCGCUAUAGAUCAACCGAUAUGACGGAAAUUACAAUUAUACUCAAAUCAUUUAAACAUUUUCAAUAUUUUCCAGCAAACAAGUUCACCUAAUAACUAACUCGAAGUGUUUAACCACACACAAAUCCUUGUAAAAUAGUCACCCGAUAUCACGGAGAAAUUCUCAAAAGUCAUCACGAGAUGGCACUAACUCGACCAAUAUCGAAACUCGGACUUCCAAAUGUUUGCAAUUUCAUCACUUCACUCGGUCUCGACGAAUCUGAAAUUUCUUGGACUUUCCUUGAAGAACCCAGGGCCAUCCGCACAACAUGGGCCAAGCUUCAACACAUUUCAAUUCAGGUUGGACUCUCUUGUAAUGAGCUCAGACUUGUCGUAUAUUUUAACUUUUACUUUUACUCGACAUUUGAGUCAAAUCACAAUAAUUUCAUGUGGGCUAUUCUCCCAUAGGUUUCCCAACCACUGCAAUCGUUUUCGAAGUCCAAACAUCAUUCGAAUUUCACCAUAACCAUGGAUUUUAUUAAGACGCCAACUCCUCUUGCACCUUUGGCUGAAGGCUUCUUUUACCAAGCAAAACCACAAUUACAUUUUUGCCUAUUAUCAUCCACUUAUGUUGUCAAACUUAGCAGCUACAAUAACUAUUAGUUCUACAGACUUCACCUCACUAAUGGUACCGUCUGUAUGAAUUAUUGUGUAAGUUUUAGCUACUUACUUGUUACCUCAAGUAAUUACAACUCAAUAUUGAGUUGGCCACUAUUAAUUUCCUCGUAGACGUCAUGUUCUACUUCCCCAGAAUUCUAACAUCUGAUCACAUUCAAUGAGGAUCUAUUUACCAUGUAGUUUGUUGUAUUGAGCGCAUCACGGCGGAUAGUGAUCGAUGGAUGGCGGAUGGUGGAUGACAAUCAGCUAGUAGUGAGGACGAAUAUUAAGAAGAGUAUAUAUUUCAAUAUUAAGAAGAGUUUUUAUUUCUCAUUUUUAUUCUAGAAAUAGAGAAGUAAAAAAAAAUUACUUUUAAUUUAUGUUCCAAACCUAUUUCUUAAAUAAAAAUCUAUUUCAUAAAUAGAAAAAUGAAAUAAUUUUACCAAACAUAUUUUUAUUUCAAAAAUAAGUUUGGAACAGAAAAAUAGUUCUUGAACAGAAAUAGAAUGAUAAUCAUGUGCACCCUAAGUCUUUCUUAACCACUGGGGGUUCGCCCCAGUGGCCACCCUUCCAACAUUGAAGGGGGAGGUGAGGGGUUCAAAUCCUCACAUUCUCAGGGGGGAUGGGGGUAGGGACGCGUAAGUUUCGAAAGUGGGUUGCGACUCCCACGCCCUGCAAGAGGCAGGGCACAAGUCUGCGAGUGAGUGUAGAGUAGGAAUAGAGUAGGACUGACCAAAAAAAGUCUUUCUCAAAUAGUCAUUCAUAACCACAAGCAUAAAUCUAACACUCUUUCUUGAAACGACAACCUGCAAAGAUCCAAGCGAAUCAACUCUCCCAAUGAUGGUAGCUUUUCUAACAAUUGUACUAAAAUGCAUCUUUUGUUGUUUGCACAAUGUAUAGUACCUACACAUAUUUAGCUCCUUAGUCACAUAACUAUAUAAUAGAUUCCUCUCACCCAAAACCUGCAAGCUUCUCAUGCCAACAUGCCCCCAAAAACAUUUGCCACAAUCCAUCUCUUUAACAUAUGCAUCCAAUUUCCAGGGCAUUUAAGCUUCUAUAUGCUUGAUUCCUCUCAUCAUCACUAAGUCAUCUUGAGCAACCUUCUAGUUUUGAAAGUAUAUUGACAACACAAUUGAAUCUAGGACACUCAAGCACAUCAAGCUCUACUUUAACUUUGGAGCAUGUCUUACACCAAUCAACAUCUUCACAAUAUCAUCAUAUAUUUUGAUUCUAAUGUCACUUAUACCUACAAUAUUGCACUCAACGUUGUUCUCCCACUGCUCGGUACCACCACUCUUGCACUGAUAAGUAGCAAACCAAUAAAAAUAUGUUCAACGACGCAUCCUUAAUGACAAAAAACACGUUAUCAAUACUCUUUAAGUUACUAUCACUAGAUUGUGAUCAUGAGGAAGCCAGCCCAGUCGAGCGAACCCACGGCUGCGUUUGCAGUACCUUCAAAGCACUCACAUGGGCAACUGAAUUGUAUUGCAAUAUGGGAGACUAACUUGCCCGGCCAUCACCAAGAGGUUGCAGGAGCACUUCCUUAUGCAAGAUCACAUCACUCGACUCUUGUACCGAAACUGCCUCGAAGCAACUCAGCAUAUUCUUGGCCCACAUUCGCCCAUAUAAUUGUCGACAUACUAUUUCAUUGAUUGAUAGGAUAGACAGACCAUCCAUUUGUCAUGUCAGCCUUUCACUUUUGCCUUUGCACUUGAUGCAGGAGGCAUCCGAUGCUAGCGUACGAAACCAGAAUCAAUCUAGAACGGCUCGUGCUACAUAUAGAGUUUACAUCCCGGGCGAGAACCAAUCUACAGUAAAUUAUCCCGAACCUGUCUUAGAUUGGAGUUAAAUUUCCAAAGUGAGAAUCCCAAAUUGGCUCAAUUAAAUAUGUAAAUGCACUGAACACGCAUGCCGAGUUAUUAUCUUUUCUCUUAUUAAAUAAACACAUACCAAUUUCAAUUCGACAUACGUCCAUAAAUCUAAAUCAUUAUUCCACUCAAAACUUGUUCAGCCACUGUUGAAGAAGUCAUCAGAGGGAGAGGAUGCGGAUGGGAAGGAGGGAAAUGUGGUUGAAAAUGAAGACGUGUGCUCCAGGUUUUGUGAUAGAAACUACCUAAUAACAUGGAAUUGAAACCUCUCCUAUUGAUUAUGACCUAUUGAUUACGUCAAAUUUAUGUUGGCAGGAAAUUGCUUGGCAUUUCAGUCAUCGCUAAUUGGCUUAGACGAAUUAAGAGCUUAGAUACAAUCAUGUAUCUUGUGCAAAACAGAUGAUUAGACGAUCGAGUUUAUGGAAAAAAAGAAUAAGAACUUGAGCUAUUAGGUCUUGAAAUUCAGACCUAGAACAAUUCAAACCCUCCAAUUUUUAAAAUCGACUGCAAAAGAUCUUAAAUAGGAAAGGGCAAGAAUUAACCGCCGUCUAAGGUGACGCCAGUUUGUUGAUGGCUUAAUUAUACUUUUGAGCACUUCAUCGCACAGUAUAAUUUUGCACCCAAUCUUCACUAUUUUAUCGCCGAGUGGCAGGGCAGAUAUGAACCUCCAGUCAUGUCUACCCUCUUAGUUUUGUUUUUGAAUUUGUUAUCAAACCAAAGUCGGGAUAGUUUUAUCGCACCCCUAGGGCCAACGUCCGAUUAUUCGCAUUUAUCGCGUGCGAGGCGCGUCACCAACGUCGGUUAUCAUAAUUGCUAUCCUAUCCGGGUCACCUCACACCGAGUUGAAUUCAAUCGCACGCGAUGGAUGACAAAUCAUGAUUUUUCACGAAGACGUCGGCGUGGAUCUUGUAAAAUGGCCCGACCAUAUUUCCUCGCCGGACCCAUACGGAAGGGCAAGUUGGGUGGAUUUCACAUAUUUUAACCUGAUUUGUCAAUAAUUUACAUCUGAUUGAUAACGACAUAUUGGUUGAGUUGAAUCCAACUUUUGAUUUUCUUUCCCUUACUCUCCUGAUUUAUGAUUUACAAGGAAAUCUAGAAGAGUCGGCGAGCUUUGAUGGUUUUUAGCCAGCUGGUUUUGCUUGCUAAUCGCCUUUUCAUUCGAAUCAACAACGUGAGUAAGUGAAUUUUGGUGACGAUCGUAUUUUCGAGAGUGCCUAAAUCUGUGGAGUUUCGUCUUGGAAUAAUUAUUGUAAUUUAAUGCAUGAUGCGGACGUUUUGUAUAUCUGAAGUUGGGGUCCCUCAAGGCAAAGGAUAUCUCUUUAUUUGAAUUUGGAAGUGGACAAUUUCACUAAAAAUAAUUACUUGUGUCACUUACAAAAAUGAAUGAACAAAAGAAAAUUCAUUGUUCACAGAAUUAUCCAGCCAUAAAUUAGUGUUGACAAUGAUAUAUUUUUCAUUAAUUAAUUAUUUUAAAUAAUAUAAAAAAUCAUUAUAUAUAUAUAUAUAUAUAUAUAUAUAUCAUUUUUAUAUAUAUUUUUUACAUCAUCAAUUUUCCUCUAAACAAACGCGGUAAAAAAACAUAUUUAUAUAUUACUUUGAAGAAGGUCUCUUUUAUUUGAGGAGAAGAGCCGCUAGAGUCUAUGACACCAAGUUUUGUAUUCCAAAGGGCAUAAUUAUCUUUAAAAAUAAUGCUUGCACGCUUCAAUUAGUUGAUCUUAAUUUUCAUAAUUUUCAAAAAAUUUCUAACAAUUCUUAUUUUUCAUAUCAUAUAACAUAUUUUUCCAAGAAAAGUUGUCUCAUCCUUAGCCCAUUUAAAACCGGCGGAACGACUCAGGUGCAUCGGAAUUGUGAGGUUUAAGAUUUAAAUGCGUGGAACGAAAAUCCAAAGACUCGAGUGCAUACUCGAGAGAAUUUUUUAUCUUGCCCUGUAAUUGUCCCUAUGAAUUAAGCGUUCAUAUGAAAGAACGAUCUCUCGAAGGGCCUAAUCCUUCUCCGAUUUCAAGUACCUCAUUUCGGUAUCCGAAGACAGUUUGCAAUCGAACCAGGUAAUUGCAGGGCAAACCAGUUCUUUGCUCUUAAAGAUUAGUAAAUAUAUAUAAAACCCAAUAAUUCAAAUCUAGAUCGUGAAUGAACAGAACAGAAAAUUUUCAUCGAUUAUUCCCGUUUCCCAUAUUUAGAUAUCGGAAAAAAGAGGAAAAAAUUGGUGAAUGUUAGAAUGAGGAGAGUUACAGGGUAAUUGAGCUACCUGGGACGGGGUGGUCGGACAUUCUGUCCUACCUCGGGAAUUUUAUCCCGAUUCCCAACCCGUGCCCCGCGUCGACGGAGGCGGAUUUGAUCGGCUCCUGAGGACGAGUUUCUUUUCUUCUUCUAUUCUAUUCCCUUUCUCUUUUCUCUUUCGGCAAUCCGUGUUGAUGGGUCUUCAAGAGAUAGGCAUCAACUCUUGCGGAAUUUCAUUCUUUUUUCCACUCAUUAUUGUCGAUGUUUGAUAGACUCUAAUCAGCCCAGAUGCUGAGGAAUCAUUCUUUUGAUGUUGCAUCAUGACGGGCAUAGUGGUUCGAGCACAAUUGCAACCCUUGAUGUUGAUCUCUUUGCAAUUCCUUGAGGGAUAAAUCAUUGUCCUUGCGUGUUCACAAACUCUUCCUUGAGUGUACUUAACUUAAAUCAUCUUUUACAAAACUCUUCCUUGAGUACUUCAACCAUCUUUUGCUUUGUCCAUGGUCAAUCGACUUGACUCAUAAUUAUGAAAAGAAAUACAGAAAAUGACACAAAUGAUUUAUAAUUUUUUUUUUUUGAUAUUUUUAAUUUGUUCAAUACGGCCUCUCAAUUUUAUCCGAAUGUGUAAUGUCAUUCCUAAACUUUUAAUUUGUUCAAUGUGGCAUUAAAAUUUUAAUACAUUUUCAAUCUAACCCCUAGAUUAUCAUAUUUAGACCUGUCAAACGAGUAAAUCGAGUCAUAAAUGGUUCAAUCCAAAUAGACCUAUUUAACAUGUUUGAAUCCAUUUUUCAUGCAAUGCAAAUCUAGUAUUCUAUACACAAUCCAACUCAUAUUGCUAAAACACUUUCAUAUUUAAUCUAAUUUACUAAAACUCAUAAUCAAACUAAGGUGAGAGUGUGGAGUUAAUGAACGCGAGAUCAAGUACAGGCAAGAUAAACUAAAGAGUGAGAUAUAAAAUAUAUUAAAUCUAAAUAAGUUGUAAACCCACUUAUAACCAAUUUAUCAUUCAUUAUGACCCAUUUGACAAUAAUAUUAUGUUUAAAUCCAUUUUCUUAGUAUAACUAACCCAUUUAUAAUCCAUGAUCCAUUUAACACUAAUAUUAUGUUUAAACAUAUUUCUUAACCCAUGGGUUUAAGAUUUAUCUCGACUGAUUUAAUCAUAUCCUUAGAUUUGAUUUAGUCCAUAAAUUAGCUAGUUCAUAGACUAAAUAAAACAUGUACCAAGAAUUCUUAGAUUAUAUCGAACAAAUUAAAAAUCGAGAACUGACAUUACAUAUUAGAUAAUCCAUUAAUCAUGUGUUGUUUUCCCAAAAAAGUACUGGCUCAAAUUCAAAAUUGUCGAGUCGAAGUUCAUUUUUUUUUUGUCGGUCUUAUUUUACUAUUUAUAUUUUAACUCUUACUUUCGAACAUUUGUCAUGUCUUCUUACAAGAUAUGGAAAUCGACUCACGCUUGAAAUUAAUUCGUCGGUCCGGGAACACGAGGACGCGUCGGUCCGGGAACACGAGGACGCGCUCACGCGGGCAAGUUGGUCGACUGAAAGAGAGAGAGAGAGAGCAAAGCGAACGAGACGUCACGCGUGGCGGAACAGUGAAAGGCUUUUGGCGUUUCGCGGGGCAGCGCGCGUCACAUCGUCAGUGCCAGUGGGGUCGGCGUCGUACGUGUUUUUCUUGUGCAAGCUUGCGAGGUGACUUGUUCGUUUUCUCCUUUUCCUUUUCCAUGGUUGACACGUCGGAUCGGCCCCCCACCUCCCCCAAUCCACCCAAUCAUGCCUGUCUCUCACUUUCGGAAGAAAGUAUAUCCUUUUCCUAUAGAAUUAUAUGCCAAUUUGCCAUUAUAUUCUUCUCCUUUUUUUCCAUUAUUUUGAUUUUAGUGUUGUGACUGUUGCCGUGUCCUUAAAUAAUCAAAUUAAUACCAUCAAGUGUGAUCAUUGAAAAUAAAAAGGAUUCGAAUUGGGAAUAAAACAAAUUAGUUGGAGUACCCAAUUCGCAAUAAAAAAGUUUGAGAAUUUAAUUGCAAAAACUACUUAUGUUAAAGUUCUAUAUCUUUUGAGAAAAAGUCACAAAAACUCUCAAAUUAUACUCAUUAUGAUAUAUUUAUUUAAUUUUUUUUGUAACAUAAAAUCCCCAAGCUAAGUCAACCAUGACUUCGACUCGAAAAAAAAAAAAAGUCCACUAUCACAUUUUUAUCUUAAACUUUUUCAUGUAACAUAACAAAACCUCAAUUGUAUAUCUCUGUGAUAUAUUUAUUCCCCGUUAAAGUUCUAAGAUGAUUUCAACCAGAAUAAUAUUGUUUUUAUUUGUAUUAAGCCAAGCAUCAUGUCAACAUUGUUUGCUUUCUAGUGUUUACAUAGAAAGAUUUUUAGCCGUUCUUAUUGACAGAAGUUGACGGAGAGUAAAUAUAUCUUAUAGUUAAAACUUUGAGAUUUUGGUGUUACAAAUUAAAGUUUAGAAUAAAUAUGCCACAACAAGUAUAGUGUAUGAUUUUUUGUGACUUUUAGCCUUUUUUUUUAAUGGUCGAAAAGUUAAAGUACUAUAUUUGGGUGUUGAUUUGCCUAUAAACAGCAAAGAGAGAGUACUUCUAAAGUUCUCAUAAUUUUAUUCUAACCAAAGAAAAUUCGUCAAAAAAAAAUCUAACCAAAGAAAAAAGAAGAAAAAAGCUAUUUUUCCUCAAUGAUGUGCCUACUUUUCUGAAUUAAAUUUGGACCUAAUGAUGUGCCUGUUUUUUCCCUUUGGUUUCUUUAUUGGACUAAAUUCUAGGAGUUUAACAUGUUUUUGUCCCUUUUCUUGUUAUAUCAGCCUAGGCACAUCAAACAUGCAAAUUGACAUAAUUGAGUGAAAUAAUUAAAAAAUGACUUGAUUGGAAGAAUCAAGUAUGGUAGACGCCCUGAUUUACACCAAAAGAAAUUUGAGGAUCCAAUUGCAAAAGUCGCACAAAUUAGACGACUAAAUUUGGACUUAACCUAUAUUUUGUGGGUUGCAUUUUUCCUGCGACGAUCUACAUGCUAGUUGAGGUGCAAAUUAAGCUUUAGAUCCUAGUAGUCGUCGCUCUGAAUAAUAAGCCAUGAUAUUUUAUACUUCCUACAAAUCUUACAAAUCAAUAUGCAACGAAUAUCUAGUUAAUGAAACAAUAAUUGAGAAAGAGAAAUGCUAGGCACAUCAAGGCUGGUUUACAAAAUACGUAACACAAUAAUUUGUCACCUAAUUUAGUAUUUGGAUUUGGUUAAUCGGUUUCAAUAAACCUAUGAUUUCUCAAUUGAGAUAUAUCCUGGAAGGAAGUUCAAUGAAACUCUAUCCUCUAUCCAUGAACAAGUGAAGUUGCACGUACUCACCCAUAUAAAUCUAGAUGUAUCAUAUUGAUUGAUUCUUAGAGAAUAUGACAAUCACAUAACAUGAAAAGCAAAAAUAAUUAUAAAAAAAAAAGGAAAAAAAAUACUAGUAAGAGUGUGAGGAUGCAGUCCAUCAGUUCGAUAGAUUUGUGAAGUCUACAAGUGAUAACUUAUAUUAAAAGAUUUAUUAGUUCAUGUAAUUAGAAUCUUUAAAAAUAAUAAAUUGAAAAUAGAUUGAAUUUAGAAGCAUGUACUCCCUUUCAAAUAAUAAGAUAUAUAUAGAUAGAUAGACGGAGAUAUGCAUUGCUAAUAAAAUUAGUCGGUUGUGUUGAUUAGAUUGUUUCAAGGGGGGUGGAUUUUAAAUGACGAGACAUUCAUUUUGCUCUAUAUGUAUUUUCAAUAGCAAGCUGUUUAUUAUUUAUUUAUUUAUUGAUAUAACUUUGAGGAAGCUGCUGGAAGCUGUUAAAUGACGAAACAUAUAUCAUGUUUUAUAAUCGAAUUCUAUCCAAAACUUAACCCACUUUCUUUUCAUUUUUUAAAAAGAAAUUCCGUGCUCCUUUCAUAUGUCGUGUGACAUCUGCUAAGUGGACAAAAUCUAAUCAAAAUAAAUAUAGCUAAAUUUUUACUUUAAACAAUUAUAGCUAAGCUUGUUGGCAUCUUCAAACUUUCAUUUUAUUAUAUCAAAACGCGGUGAUGACAAAGCAGUCCACAUUAAACGACCCCACAACUCCAUUGCGGGCACACAAGAAAAGGGGGAAAUUUUCAAUUAGGCCCUUUAAAGAGCCCACUUCCUCAAAAUGCCCCAGAUAAAUGAUUUUUUCUCAAUAGACUCCCUCCACUUGACGAACGUGAAUCAAUUAACCACAUCGGCGAGAAAAGUGGCCAGCCAGGAUGCGCGUGAGUGAUUUUCCGGCCAAGUAGAGGCAUUUUGGUCCAAAAACGAAAGCUCAUAGAAAGUUCAAAUUUGAAAAUGAAGAAUCCCUAGAGGGAGAGAGAGAGGGAGGAGGGGGAAGUGGGCCCGCGGUGAAGAUGCCGCCCUAGAACCAAUGAGGAUAUGGAUCCAAGUGUCAUGGGAUACCAGAUUCCUUGGCCGCGAAACGACCCAUACGGCGCCUGGCAAGUGGAAUUCGCCAGGCCAGCCUUUCUUUUAUAACUAUUCUAGCUAACAAUACAGUGAAUAACUUCUCUGUACGAGAUUAUAUCACAUCCAGCUUCGCUCGGGUGUCUAGUUGAUCGAGUGAGAUAAUAGAUCUCUUUAGGCUCAACAACUGGUUUCGGCUUGCCAUGGCCUUGUCAUGAGAGCAGCAUCAGCUCCCGACCAGUUUGUGCACAAGAGGCCAAUCUCACCUUCAAAGCUCUUAAGUGAUAUAAUCUUGUUAUCCUAGAACUCGUAGCACAAAUCGUCCUGACGCCACUCUCACGGACCAGUUGUAUUCGCCCCCUCUGCCUUUUCACUCUUCACUCGAUAACCCCAAGCACUGCUCACAAGUGUCACAAGUACGGGAAGAUUCAUAGACCGUAACAUUCUUCUCACUCAAUUUCGCAACGCCCUCGUUGCGAUCUAUUUUGUCGCUUCCUUGCGUCCCUUAACCAUUGAUGCGCCACUUUUGGGAUUUCACAUCGAAUGGUCAUGCUCGCCCAACAAAACAGGUUUUGCUCCUUGUAGCCUCUUUUGAUCUCAGCUGUUCGGGCCCUUCUCGGCCACCUGCACUUUCUUUGGCAAGUGUGGCAUUUUUCGCCAACCACAUCUUUUGGCAGCACCAUUUUUGCCUACUAAGCAUCUUGACCCCAGCAAACCAAAUGGAGGUUCUUUCCUUGUUGAAAAUGUGGCUAUAGACCUCUUCCAAUCGAUCCAGGAACAUUAUCCCUAUUUAGCGAGGAUUCAGUUCUUCUCGAACCCAUUGUCUGUUCAGCGAGGAACCAACUCUUCCUAGUGCCCCCAUUAUCAUCCUAGGAGCUUUAGAGAGUCGCGCUUUGUUCGAGCACCUUUUGCCCUGGUGAUUCACUCUCCGCCCUCGUAAGACCAAGAAGACCACUAGUACUUUGCAGCUCAACCCACACUGGAGCGCGGAGUCCGAUUCUCUGAAUCACCCACUUACUAGAGGGAUUCCUGUUCUGAUACCAUGUGUCACAAGCCAACAGAUUCAUUGGCCACGGAAUGACCUGUGCAACGCCUGGCGAGCGAAAUUCGCCAAGCCAACCUUCCUUCUAUAGAUGUUCCAGUGAACAAUACGGUGAAUGGCUUCUCUGUACAAUAUCAUACCAUGCCCAGCUUCGCUUGGGUGUCUAGUCUAUCGAGUGAGAUAGCAAAUCUAUUUAGGCUUAACAACUGAUUUCAGCCUAACAUGGCUUCGUCAGGAGAGCGACAUCAGCUCCCAACCAGUUUGUGCACAGGAGGCCAACCCCGCCUUCAGAGCUCCUAAGUGAUAUAAUCCUUAUAUCCUAGAACUCCUAGCACCAAUCAUCCUGACGCCGCUCUCAUAGACCAGUUGUGUUCGUCCCCUCUGCCUCUUCACUCCUCAUUCAAUAACCCCAAGCACUGCUCACAAGUGUCACGAGUACGGGAGGAUUCACGGACUGUGACACAAGCAUGGACGAGUCCAUCACCGUCACCUCACACAAUCUCGCACACUUGAGAGAAAGUCAAAACUUGCUAAGUCAAUCGGCACCUUGUGUUUUGCUUACCCAACACAUCCUUCAAAGCCACUUUUUUUUUUUUUAAUUCUAUGUCUUUAAUGUAGUAGUUAUACAUAUGAGUUUUGUUAUUAAAAAAAAAAAUCGAGAAUUAGUGUGGUUUUGGAAUAAUUAAUAUAUCAUAAUUGGCUGAUAACUUAUUUGUUUAAUAUUUUCAGUGAAGGUAAGUCCAAUUGAAUAUAUUUAUGAAUUCAAACUUGAAUUCCCUCUUGAUAAUCUUCCCAAAUUAAGGUGUUAGACUUUUGGUGCAUGUUCCCAAUAAUAUCCCUUCUUGCCAUUCUUCUUGCUCGGUGAAUGAGCAAUGUCAUACGCCUCCACAGCUUUGCCUAAACCAAAAGUAAUUAAUAAGACACUAUAUGUUGAAAAUUGUGUGGUGUGAUAAUUCAAUACUAAACUGGAUUUAACACAACCAUUUUCAUAUCUUGUGGUCAUCAAUGAUUCUCACAUCCCUAUUUGGUCCACCUAUGAGCCCUUCUUCUUAGUUGAAGCUCUAUAACAGCAGGAGUUGCAGACUUUGGUGUUAGUCCCAACACAAGGUCACUUGGCCCAAUUCAUAUAAGGUGUGUUUGGCUUAGCUUUCCCAAGAGAUUAGAACUAUGGACCUAUAAAGUCCAUUGGGAAAAAGUUAGGCAUCUAGUAAAAUUUCUUUGAACCACUUUAGGGAAAUGCUAGCUUUAGCAAAACUGAAAGCCUAAGACACUCCCCUUGGACUUUAGCAUUUUCAAAUGCUAUUGUGGGGUUUAAUGACUUUUUUCUUCCAAUUUUGCACUCACUAAUGAUUGUGUAUUCCAAUUUGGUCCGCCUAUGAGCAGGAAAACGUUGUCAGUCGUCAUGGUUGAGGCUCACUUAGGGUCACACAAUCUUGAUGGCAAUCGCUUGUCGCUUGGGGUUGCAUGACCUCGAGGUGACCCAAAUUUCUUUUAGCAGCAAUCUUGAUGAAUUCUACCUAGAAUGAUGACAAAUGGAGGAUGAACUCAAGCUUUCAAACUCUCAAUUCACUCCACUCACAACCAUAACGUCUUGCCAUCGACUCUUCUUUGAUCACUCAUAGUUUCGCACUAUAAAAUCACUCAGUUCUACUAUCUAAUUUUGGUAUGAAGACUCAUGACUUUACAGGAAAAAAAAAACAUAGGGAAGGAGCCCCCGUUUUUUGGAGAUAGAGACUUUGAGGAAAGACUAUGAGCUACUUCAAAGCUACUAUACAAAAGACUACACCAAAAGUCACUAACAAAACAAUAUUUGCUUUGAGGAAAUACACAUUAAGCUAAAAUAUUUGGGACACUAACUUUGCAUUUUCCAAAGGCUCAAUCAAACAUAGACGUAAUGUCUUUGCCAACCCUCAUCACUUACAUAAAGCAUGGGUCAUGGGCCAAUAGUUUCUUGGCCAAGGCAUAGCCCAUGUGGCACCUGAUGAGCCAAAAACACUAGGUGAGCCGUUCUUCUAUAUAUCAUUCCUAAGGACAAUAUGACAGAACGUAUCCUCAUAUCGGAUCGCACCAGAUCCAAUUAAGCUUGGGCAUCUAAUCUCUCAAACGAGAUAUACAACACUUUAGUACAAUAAUUGGUUUUGAAUUGCCAUAGAAUCAUUAGGAGAGCAAUAUCAACUCCCGACUAGUUUGUGCAUCAAAAACCAACCUCACCUUCAGAGAUAUUAUAUGAUAGUAUUCGUUUCGCUAUAGGAUUCCCAAUACAAACACCCUGAUGCUACUCCUAAAACCAAUUGUAUCAUCACUUCUACAUCACUCACUAUUCUCCCCGAUGCCAAUGUUCCACAUUUUAGCUCACAAGGGUAUAGGAGAAUUUAGUUCGUGACAUUCUCCCCCACCCAAUUUCGUGACGCCCAAGAUCCUCUAUCGCUUCCUUGUGCCCUACAACCAUAUAUGUCACUCUCUCGAGACCUAUAUGAUUGUGAAUGCUCAUUCAAUAGAACAAGCUAGUACACUCCAUUGUUAGCUUUUCCCUAAUUAAAGCUAUUUGCUGAUCUCUAGUCACAUGUGCUCUCUCUAACAAAUAUAACAUCUCGGGCCAAUUGCUCUCCCUCGGCACACUUUAUUACGCCUACUAGGCUUCUUAUGAUCUUAGCAAGACCAAUAAAGGUUUUUCUCCUUGCAUGAAACAUGGUAACAAACCUCAUCUUAAGAUUAACCCAUUGUUAUGAGCAAGUCAAUUCAUUUUUGUCCCUCCCCCUCAUUGCCAUUCUAAAAGCUUGCCAGAAGUCGCACCUUGUCGGAGCCUUCUUGGCCUCAACAAUCACCCCCUGCCCUCAUAGGACCCCAAUAGAACAUAAGCUUUCCUCAAAUAACCCACCUUCUAGAGGGAUUUUGCUUUGAUAGCACUUGUCGUAGGCUAUUGAUUUAGCAUUCCUUUACUCGUGUAGCCUUAGAAAACUCUUAACCUUAAAGUACUUAAAAAAAUUUCUGAUUACAACUGUAGACUCCAUUUAAUAUGAUGGUAGAUCUUUUGUCAUCCCAUCUAUGACUACCCACAUUAAUUCAAGAAUAUGGGAAAAAAGGUAUUAGAAACGCCAAAAGUUUCGUACAACACUCACUUUCUUACCAAACAAUUUUUUUCAAUUUUUUUCAAAUCACCGAAGUACCACUUUAAAAAAAAAAAAAAAAAGAUCACUUAAGUGCCAAUUCUGAAUUACAUUGCUGGAAAUCUGACACAUCCAUAUUUUUAACCAAUUUCUCUGAGUAAUAUGACUCGUCAACAUGCCCAAUCAGUGUAUGGACUCCUAAACGACGUUGUCUACAAUGUUUGACCCUAAAUAUGAACCCUAAAUCUCAAAUUGAAAGAAAUCCCCAAUUCAAAACCUUAUAACCAAAAUCAAAACCCUAAAACCGAAUGUCUUCUUCCGUAUAGUCUCCUCUCCUCCGGAACCUAAGGGGGAGACGAAGAAAAAUAAAAGGUGGGGACGAAAAUAAAUUGAAGAAAUCCCCAAUUCGAAACCCUAAAACCCAAAGUCUUCUUCCAUACAGUCUCCUUUCCUUUAGAACCUGAGGGAGAGACCAGAAGAAAAACAAAAAUUGGGGACGAAGACAAAUUUUGAUAACACUCCGGGAGAUUUUCGGGCUUCUUCCUUUACUGUCGAACGUCCUCCGUCAUCAAUUGCGACCAUUCCCUUACCAUGGUCAAGAAACUCUCUAUUAUCCUGUAUUUUUUUAUUCAAUCCAUCCGAGUGAGUCGAUCCUUUGCCCGAAGCUUUUUUCAUUGACAUCGAUCACCGUAGCCCGCGUAAUUGGGGUCACGAUUCCGCAUUCGAUUAUUGCUUGUCAUAUUCCGCAUUCGAUUAUUGCUUGUCAUUGUGGAUGUCUUGUUUUUGUGAUAUAUUGGGAGAAGCGUUGCCUUGCCCUAUCUCUUUGAUCAACGCUUACCUAAACCAUUUCGGAUGAGUUUAAACAGCAGUCUUGGUUGAAAUCCCUCCUCAGCAAGGUUGGUGUUCUUAAUAUAAAUAAGCCACACCAGAUAAAAAUUUAAAUUACAAAAGCUACCUAAUUAUUUUGGCUGAAAUCUCUCACCAAAUGUACUUAAGUAAUCAUUUUUUCUCUGAUGUGGCACAUAAGUAAACCGAUGAAAAAUUAUGAUACUUAAAUAAUUCAUAUAUGAAAAUUUUGGCACUUUUACGUCCUUUUCCCAAGAAUAUAUAUUUCACAGGUUGCCCACGAGGAAUAAUCUAGAAUCCCCUUGUGUCCAUUUCCUAUAGUGCCCCUAAAAACAUUUAGAUCAUUUAAGAAAGUGUACUACCUUAUAAGCUUCCAAGUUCACUCGAUUCUUUCGAUCACUUCGUCGUUUCAUUGUGCCCCGAAACACAUGAGUCUUCAUCAUCUUCCUUCUCUCUCCCUCUCCCAUCUGAGCCGAUGGCAAUGCUCUCGCCUCAGCCGAGCGAGGGACAUCAAAACCCUCACGGUUCCUGGUCAACGACGGCUUCCCUGUGCAAUCACGUUCUCUCCAUGUUUAGAGUUUUUCGAUUUUAAAUUCUCCCCACAAUUUUUUUUUUUUUUUUGAAAGAAAAAUGCUCCUACUCGGCCAGAAAAUCGUCCACGCGAGCUGCACAUACAUCCCGACUAGCCACUUUUACCACCCGCAUUUCACCGACGGGGGGCUAAUCGAUUCACAUUUGUCAAGCGCGUGGGGUCUUUCGAGACAAAACCAAGUAUUAGGGGGGCAUUUAAUAAAAUUGGGUCGAAUUCAAGGGGGUCGAUUGAAAUUUUCCCCUCCAAAAUGACGGCAAAGGACAAAAAAUAAAAUAAAAUAUUGGUUUCGCCCAAAGGCCCAAGCUAUCCAAGUAGACUCCUACUAAGUCCUUACGUAUCAAAAACAGUGCGUCUAUGUCGGACUACUUUCAACCAUACUUGCCGAAAGCAAAAGCUCACGACUCCAUCGAAAUUUUAUAAUCAUGGUCGAGAGAGAUCACUUGGAUUAUCCACACGUCGAUGGGUAUAAAGCCGCCCUUGUAAUAAGCUAUUCGACUCGCUUCCUUCUCUCUCCUUUCCGCCCUGCCCGCCGACUAUGAUAAUUGAAUUGGUGUCAGCGACACGACACCGGUCGGACUUCGUCUCCCAAUUCUCAUCGAUCAUAUAAAAUAAUUGCCGCCUCCCUCAUUGUGUUCUCUUUGGGAGUUGAAGAGUGCCCCGUGACGCAAAGCAGCAUGAUUUUCUCAAGUUUGUGAUAACUUAGUUUAGUCCUCCUCUGUAUUCUGGAAUGGACAAAGGGGUUGAGAGAAUAAUAAGCAUCUCACUAGGGUUUCAGGUGUUUAUUUUAAUCUCCUCAUCAGGGUCAGAUCUAUCUUGCCAUGUGAUGUGAGCUGUCAAAUUACACGAGUCAAUGGAAUUUGAAAAACAAAAGAAAAACGCCGCUGUUUCAGAUCCUGAUUGGAAGUGUUGGAUAAAAAUUAAAAGUUUCUCAUUCUGUUUUUUUGCGAUCCUACAGUAUUCUAUAACGUCCAAUAAUAAGUGUGCAAUCUAAAAUCACUAGUCAGGGUUUUUGUUUUCAACAAUAUCCAUGAUCGAGAUUUUCAUUUCAUUAAUAUUUCAUAAUUUUCGUGUAUUUAAAUAUGAAUUAUGAUUAAUAGAUUGUAACAAAUGAUGGUCAUUGAAGACGGUGGUGAUUCACUAUCAUUGUUCAAUUAAAACUACCGGUGAAACUAGAAUAAACCCCGAUACCAACUUUGGAACUGUGACUAAAUAGAUUUUAGAUUUCCCAAAUACGUAGAGUAUUCUUCAAGUUUUUAAAAAAAAUUAAUGAACCUAUUUCGACGCUCGCCUCUAAUCCUUCAAAGGCAAGUGGAUGAGGGAAUUAACGUCGGUCGGUUCAGAUUGGUCCGGUUAAAAAGUUUCGGGUAAUGCAUAUUUUUUAAAGGUGAAUUGUGGAAAAAGCUUUGGGCGACAAUGAAAUUUAACCUUAAGAAAGAGAGAUUGAACAAAACCAAAAGCAAAAGCCCCACCUUUUUCUUCUUCUUUUUUCAAUACAAAACCCCCCAACCCCCCCAACUUGAAUCGAAUGUAAUGCGGGAAUAUCCCCCCAAACGAACGUCGACCAUUUUUCUCCCCGGCCUCUCUUCCCAAAUCCAAGCCGUUUCGCAGCUCAUUCGACUCUCCUCUCUCUCUCUCUCUCUCUCUCUCUUUAUAUAAAUAUAUAUCUGCGAUUCUUCGUUGGCUUCCCUAGUAACUCUGCCGAGCCCUGCGCAAUCGGGCCAGCGUGGUAACGUCCGGCAUCAUCAUCGCCACCAUCGUCCUCUUCACCUCCUCCCCUCUCAACAUCUCUCCAUCUCUCUCUCUCUCUCUCUCUCUCUCUCUAUCCCCCACCCCCCACCACCUCUCAAAACCUCUCCUCCUCCGCCGCCCCCGACGGCGGCGCCGCCACCGCCGCCGCUGCCGCCACCCCCAUGAACCUUCUCCUCCUCCUUCUCUCCCCCUGAAGCCUCCCCUGGAGCAGGGGGGAUCGGGGGAGCCGAAGAGGGGAAACAGAAGCUGC
rnacentral:lncRNA from 1 species